rnacentral:lncRNA from 1 species
GCGAGGUGCGGCCUGUGGGGCGGGUGCGCGCGCGAGCGGGCACGUGGGGCUCUUUCGUCCCCGGCGUCCGGGCGCCCUGCGCCAGCCCCCACUCCUGCCCCGGCCCCACGGGUGGCUGGUGAGCAGAAAGAUCCAAACCCGUGCCCCUACCGCGGGCCGGCGCAGUCGCGCCUUUGUGUUUGUGAAGUGCUCGUAACAGCCAUGAAAAGAAUGGCGUCCAUUUACAUAAUGCUUUGUUUGCAUCUUGCUGGUUUCUUUCUGUUGAAACCCGCAGAAACCCAACCUAGCAAUUCGGUCCUUUCUACCGUGGCAGUCUCUUGUCUGCUACUUGAAACAAUAGUGUGCGUCUCUGGAGGCCUUAUUUAAAUUCGAGCGGUGCCGACCAGAGUUGGAGGUUUCUGCGGCAUUUCCCGCGCGGCCUCUCCGGUUCUCGCUUUUCGGCCCUCUUCUCUCACAGCGCAGCCGCAGCGCCCCACUCUCGGGCGGCCCCUGGUGACGCCCGCCAUCUUGGGAGGCCUUUUCUGCCUAGUUCAUCUCGCUAGAAAAUGUCGCUGAGAUGCCGGCACAUGAGUUGUGAUUUCUACCCCUUCCCUUUCCUCUUUGAGCUAAGCCAGACUCCAGAAUGUCAAGUGAGCAAAGCAUACUUAGUCCCUCAGUGAAAGUGGGCUAACGUGGCGCUCCCCAUCGCCACCCCCCCCCCGUCGCCAUGUUUCCUGAACACAAAAUGGCGACACGUGGCCUGGAUUCGUCGCUCAGGAGAAAUUGGGGUCGCCCGAAAGCUCUAGAACGCGCCGCCUCUUGUUCACUGGGACUUCCCUGCGACGGGAGUCCUUAAGAUCCCUCCUGUAGGCUGGUCCGAAACGUGGCGGAAGAAGUUUAAUCCUCCCUCCUUUAAUUUGAAAGGAGAAUGUGAAUAAUAGUAAAAUGUAGGCACGGUGUCGAUCAUCUCGGCCUUUUUUUUUUUUUUAGAUUUUCAUAGUGUAUGGGCAGUACCAUGGGGAAAUUUCAGGUGUCCCCCCGCCCCUGUACCAAAAUACUUAGAAACCACUGCUUUAAGGAAUGAGAUGGGGAAAAUACUGCUUUCCCAGAUCUCCUAGUACACGGUGUUGUGCUGGGAAGACCAAAAUAUGAUUUUUAAAAUAAUACAAAUAUGUAGACAUACUCUGUAGGCAUUUUCACAGGCAGUUAGUUGGUCAGUGACCCACAGCUUAUUAUAAUUUGUAUUGUCUUUUAUGGUCUAGAAGGGACAGAUCUUAUGGUAGGCAUUUUAUUGCAUACUAUCUUAAUUUUUACCACACUCUACGAGGUAGUUAUCCCCUUCUCUUUCUCUCUUUUUUUUUAAGCAGAGGAAGACACUUAAGCCCAGAGAAAUGAAGUGAGCCAUUCAAAGUCAUACGUUGUCGGGGAUGGAAUCCAGACCUUCUGAUUUCUUUACUGGUGAGCACAUUUUCCAGUUUUUCUAUAAAUCAAGGUUUUUGAAUUAAAUUCAUUCAUUCUUUCUUUUUUUUUUUUUUUUUUUUGUAGCAAAAAAGCUACCAAAGGUGCUUAACCAUUGAGCCACAUUCCUAGCCGUCACCCUUUUUAUUUUUUUAAUUUUAAAACAGUGUUGCUUACAGCUUCGCUAAAUUUCUGAGGCUGGUUUUGAACCUGUGAUCCUCCUGCCUCAGCCUCCCGAUCUGCUUAGAAUUUAAAUUGUUUUUAACGUGUAAAUGUGCUGACUUUGAAGGUUACCUUUAGGUAAUCCUUUGUUGUGUAGUCAGCCCAUUUGUAUCUCCUUGGGGAUUUCCAUUUUCUCCUGAUGUGAGUGACACACACAUUUGAGCCCUGUCUGGGCUUAAAUGCUGUUCUGUGAGGUAACUGGAUAGGGAGAGAGAGAUGGAAGUGAUUCAGACCUUUCCAAGGCCCACGUGUCUUAGUCUGGCCUCCUCAGUGGCACAUUUGAGUUACCUGGCUCUAGGGGAGUGAACAAUUCUUUGAGAGACUCACUUGCUUCCUUCAGCUACUUGUGCUUGACUCCUUCUUCACUACCCCUUAUCCCCAGCUCUGUAAAAAUGAGUUAUUUUACUCUGGCACCAAGCCUCCAUUAUUCUGCAAAUAUUGACAAAUCCUGACAUAGUGUUAGAUAAAUCAUAGUCUGUGGACACCUCAGUGUAACACAUGGUUAGGGGGUCCAGGUAACAAAAACAUGCCUAAACAAGGACUACAUGGCUGUUAUAGAUGGAGAGGGAUUUUUGCUUUUAACUUACAUUAACGUGUGUAUCAAAUUUUCCAAAAGUCUUCAUAUUGUUUUAUAUAACUCUGCAAAUAACUUUGAUAGGUACAUACCUAGGAUAUAACUAAGUACUUAGUGCUAUUAUUAUUACAGUAAUAAUAAUAGCACUAAGUACUUAGUUAUAUGCUAGGCCCUGUUCUAAGCCUAUCCUAUGCUUUAACUCAGUGGCUCUUAACAUUAUUAAAAGUAAAAUAUUAGAAGAAAUCGAUCUUACAUUGUAAUUCAGAUGUACACACAUAUAUCACAUAUCGGUUCUUUUUUUUUUUUUUUUUUAAUUGGGAAUUAAAUGAGGAUGCUUUACCAUUGAGCAACAUCAUCUUUUAUUUAUUUAUUUAUUUUUAAUUUUGAGACAGGGUUUCACUAAAUUACUAAGUUGCUGAGGUUGGCUUUGAACUUGGAAUCCUGCUUCAGCCAUCCUAGUUGCUGGGAUGAUAGGUGUGUGCCACUGUACCCAUUUUAUAUAACAGAUUUUUUUGCAAAACACUACUUAUUACUACAUGCAAUGUAUUCUGGUUCCAGUUUCUGUUCAUUUAUUUAUAUUCAAACAUAAAAGGGGUUGUUAUAACUAAAAUGAUUCAAAACCCAUUAGUAGGUUGUGACUGGAAUACACAUUUAAUCCUCAUAUAAGCUCAUGAAAUGGGUGGUGAUAUUAUUUCCAUUUUACAGAGGUACUGAGAGGUGAAGGAGUUUGUCCAAGUUCAGAUAAAGUAGUAAAGUAUGGAUAUGAAUGUAGGCAAUCUGAGUCCACAGAUGGUAUACUUAACCAUAAGGUAGAUGUGGUCUCUGUGGAGUUCUUUGUAGGGAGACAAAGUAGAUUAAAGAAUUAAAAAUACUAGUAAUGGCUUGGCAUGGUGUACACACCUAUAAUCCUAGCCACUUGGGAGACUGAGGCAGGAGGAUUGCAAAUUUAAGGCCAGCCUCAGCAAUUUAAGCACUAAGCAAUUUAGCAAUAUCCUGACUCAGAAAAUAAAAGGGCUGGGGAUGUGGCUUAAGUGGUUAAGCACCCCUGGAUUCAAUUCCUAAUUAAAAAAAAAAAAAAAGAUACUAGUAAUGGUUCAAAUCCGGGUGCGCUCUCCAAAUACAACAAAAAAAAAAAUAUUAGAAAACAGGAGACGAAAGGACUAAAUUGCAUAUGGUCAUGGAGUAUCCUGAUUGAAUGCAUUAUGGUCCUCCAAAUUUACUUUUUUUAUCUUCCCUAAAGAAAUUUUUACCCAUCAGGUAAAAAAAAAAAAUUUUUUCCCCAAGAUUGCCUGUUUUAAUUCUUUUCUGCCUGAAAUAUUUCCUUGAUUUCUUCUUAUCUGAGUACCUCUAGGACUAAUUGUACUCCUCAGUGAAGUAUUUCCUUUCUCAUCUUCCUUAGCUCUUAACCUCCCCGAGAAUCCUAUAUCCCACCUUCAGUGGCCCACAUUUUACUGUUGAUGAAAUCCUAGAGUGAUGUGUCCUGUAGGCUCUCCAGGUGCCCUGGAGAUGCUGUAAUUUGUCAAAGUGGGCUCUGGAUUUUGGAAUCCAAGGCUCUGUGCCCUAGCCCCAUUCUGUGACUGACUAGCUGUGAGACUUCUACAAUUUAUAUAUCUGGGUCUCAGUUUUUUCCACUGUAAAACAAAAAAUUAAAUGAUCACUAAGCCAUUUUUAAAUUCUAUUCUGGGAGUGAUACUAUUUAAUGACCUUAUUAUCUCUGAGUGGUGGUGGGUAGGGUUGUGUAAAUGUUUUACUCACUUUUGGAAAAUUCUGUACUCCCUUACUCAGAUCUGGAUUAACUUUUGAAUUCCACAUUACCCAUUUUAUGGAUGAAGCUCCUGAGAUAUGGAACAAUGGAUUGAAUAGUCACCGCCCCAACCCUGGAAUCUCACACAGGACUCUUCUCACUCAAAUGACCACAGGUUGGUUAAGGGGUUUAAUAUGACUGGGAAGGUGAGCCAGGUUUAGACUUUGGAAGUUGAACCACAGGAUUUAUCUUCCAUUCAGAGAAACAAUUUUUACUUCCUCUUACAUUAUGUUGGCAUGUUAUAUACAUAAAACUUUAAAAAAUGAUUUUGUAUUACUUGUAUAAGCAUCACAGACAGCUUUGCCAAUAAGUUAUUAUUGUACCAAUUUUACUGAUGAGCCAUCUUUGGAUUAGAAGAGUGAAAGAAUUUGCUGAAGGUUAUACAGCUUAUUGGGACCUGAGUUAGAUUUUUUUUUUUUUUUUUAAUUAGCUGCCAUGACAUUACAAUGAUCUUGGCAAUUCAUACAUUUGAAUCAAUUGGGGUAUAAAUUCUCAUUUUUCUGAUUGUACAGAUUGCAGAAUCACACUGGUCAUAGAGUCACCUAUAUAUAUACAGCAUGAGUUAGAUUUCUUGAUUACUGCUUGUAGAUUGUCCUUUCCUUAACUUCUGAUGUCUGUGGCAUAGACUUUAUUUUAUUUUUUAUUUUGGUAUUGGGGAUUAAACCCAGGGUGCUUAACCACUUAGCCACAUUUCCUUUUUAUUUUUAUUUUGAAACUCGGUCUUGCUAAGUUGUUUAGGGCCUCAUUCAAUUGCUGCAGCUGGCCUCAAACUUGAAAUCCUCCUGCCUCAGUCUCCUGAGUUGUUGGAAUUAUUGGUGUGUGCCACUGUGCCCAGCUGUGUCACAGUUUUGAAACUUGGAUAACUUUAAAUUCAAAAAGCCUCCCAAAUCAGUCUUUGUUUUUCUGUCCUAGAACAUCCAUUCCAAUUACCUUAGGCUCCUUACUCUUGUUUUAAGAUAAUUUCUUCUCUUCUUGAUCUCUAGUGCUUACAUUUAUGAGUUUGUGAAGGAGUGAGAGUGAUUACUCAAUGAGACUCCCAAAUUCCCUGGUGGUAGGGACCAUAUUUCUUUUCUUUAACCUACUUGUCCCAGCAAAGUAUACUAUAGCUAUUUAAAUUUGCUCUAUAAACAUGUAGCAUUGUUUUUUAAAAACAUGGUUUAAUUUUUUUCUCCUCCAUCAGAGCUCUCUUUUAUUUAAAAUAAUAUUAAAUUGAGAGGGCCUUUUCUCUAUUAUAUUAUAGGCUACUAUAGCCUAGAAACUUGUCUUACCCACUUUGCAGAUAGUAACAAUUUGGUGUCAUGUGCUGGUUUCCUUGUUCUGCUGUUAGGAGAUCACUCUUUGGUUGCCUGAGAAACAUAAGAAGUUUAUUGGUGUAGUUUGCAGAAGUAACCCAAAGAUACAGCAACAUCCUUGGCCUAAGUUCUCCCUAUUAGACAAAGCAAUGCCCUUGGAUACUCUAUGGUAUCUCUGCCUGAAAUAGAGUAUGUGGAAGAGAUGGCAGAGGAAAGUUUAAAAAGGGGAAAAAUGAAAACUGAAUGCAAAUACAAAGUAUAGAAAGUGAGGAUGGGUAAAAAGCGAAGAGUGAAAUGCAGUAUUGGUGGGAAAGAGGUGAACAAAACAAUCUAGAGGUUCAUCACCCCUGCUUCCCUCCUGUGUGCCAGCGCACAGCUGGUGGUUUGAGAAGCAUAGACUGCUGUCUUCAAAGAAGAGCAGUGGAAAUGAUGACUCCUCUUGAGUUGAUUUCGGGUAGCACACACUUCCAUUUUUUUUUUUUUUUUAAACCUCUAUGUUCAUUACCAUGUAGAGUAAAUUUCUUUGCUUCUGCUAUCAGCUGGGGAUGGGAUUGGGUGCCAGUAACUUUAAUAUUAGCCUGAGUUCAGUUGAUUUAUCAGGGAAAAUAUGUUAAAAAAUUACUGAAGGUUUUCUUGGUCAAGUUUGUAUACAUUCAUUCAACAAGUCAUUAUUGAUUGUUUAAUAUGUCUUAGACACUAAGAAUAUACAAAUGCAUGAGAUCUUGACCUUGGCCUCAAGAUGUUUAUUAUCUAGAUGGAGAGACAGGUAACACAGACAUGUGUUAAGUAUUAAUAUAUGAGUUAGCAGAGAAUGCAGUGGGAGAAGAGAGGAGGGGCCUUAAUUUAGCUUUGGAAGCAAUGGGAGAAGGCGGUCUAGAUAAAAGUUGACAUCCAGAGUCCCAAAUGUGAGGGGGAGGGUAGGAAAGGGUAUUAUAGGCAGAGGGAACAAAAGUUCAAAAUCAGAGAGAGCAUAGUCCAUUGAGAAGUUGUAGGCAUUUAUGACGGAUGUUUGCAUUAUCCAAUUUUUAGUGAUUAUUGUUCUCCUGCUUCAGUAGUGUGGAUUAUUUUAACUUUACUGUGCUUGCUAUAGCAGAGAAAGUUGCAGACUUUAUUUUGGAGUAUUACUUCUGUUUUAAAAUGAAGACACCAGAAAUUGCACUUUUAUCUAGGAAUGCUAAGGAGAAAAUGUAAAUGAAGCCCAACCUUUGAAUUAGCAAAUGACUGGUGAUCAAUUGUACAGUAAAAGAAAGAAGGUACAGUGGCACAUCUGUAAUCCCAGUGGCUCCUGGAGACUGAGAGGAGGAUUUCGAGUUCAAAGCCAGCCUCAGCAGAUUAGUGAGGCAUUUAGCAAUUCAUUGAGACCCUGUCUCUAAAGAAAAAUAUAGGGCUGGGGUUGUGGCUCAGCGGUAGAGCGCUCACCUGGCACGUAUGAGACCCUGGGUUCGAUCCUCAGCACCAAAUAAAAAAAUAAGUGAAAUAAAGGUGUUGUGUCCAAUUACAACUAAAAAUAAAAAAAGGGCUGGGACAUCAGCUCACCUGGGUUCAAUCCCUGGUACCAAAAAAGAAAAAGAAGAAGAAAGAAAGAAGGUACAGCAGAGUGUGAUAGUGUAAGCCAGUAGUCCUAGCCAAUUGUGUGGUUGAGGCAGGAAGAUUGCUUGAGCCCAGAAGUUCAAAGCCAAUUUGGGCAGCAUAGCAAUACCCCAUCUCAAAAAAGGAAAAAGAAAGAUGCAGUGUACAGUGUAUCUUUGUCAUCCAACUUUAGGGUCUGUUGUGCUCUGUUUUGUUUUUAAGGCUUUAAGGCUGUGUGUGUGUGUGUGUGUGUGUGUGUAAAUUUAUGGUCUUAUUCAGUUGGUUAGGAUAUUUGAGUUAGGGAGGAGGGAAAGGGGGUCUAGAAUAAUUGUGCCUUUUUAUGGCAGAACAAAAGAAAUACCUUUCAUGCUGGGAGGUGGCACACGCCUCUAAUCCCAGCGGCUCUGGAGGCUGAGACAGGAGAAUCACAAGUUCAAAGCCAGCCUCAGCAACUUAGUGAGGCGCUUAGCAACUCAACGAGACUCUGUCUCUAAAUAAAAAAUGGCUGGGUAUGUGGCUCAGUGGUUAAGCAUCCCUGGGUUCAAUCCCUGGUCCAAAAAAAAAAAAAAAAGAAAAAAUAUGUUUAAAAAGCUCUGAUCCCACCAACUAAGCACAACAAGGCAUAGUCAGGAACUUUGUUUUAGAAAGACAGUUACUUCAACUAGACAAAAUGUUUGUUCAACAUCAUUCACUUUGUAAAGUCUGUUUUGUUCAGAUUAAGAGCAUUGAUUUUUGUUUUUGUUUUUUUUCCCCACAUGGUCCUAGCUCCAUUAAACAGAAACCUUAUGUGUAUUCCUUGAAUAAUGCUGGGAUUUUUACUGGAUUAAACAACAACAAAAAAAAAGGUAUAUGUGAAAUAGGGAAGAAUAAAUUUAGCAGUCAGCUUGUAGAUUCAAUGGUCAUUUCUCAGUCAUCUUUCUUACCUUUCUUAUCAGAAGCAGUUGCUGCUCCUUCCUUGCACUAUGGCUUCACUUAAUUUCUAUGGCAUUCUCUUAGCUCUCUGUCUACCUCCUUGGCCCCUCUUCCUUAACAUUUUUUUUCUUCCUAAUGCUUUCUCAUCUCUUUAGCCUCCAGUGACAGAGUACUCAAAGUAGUCCACCUGUUCUGCCUACACUUAUUUCUUAGUGCUUUAUUUUUUUUUCAAAACUUUAAAUACCAUAUAUCCAGGUGUGGUGGCGUACACCUAUAAUCCCAGUGGUUCAGAAGGCUGAGGCAGGAGGAUUAUGAGUUCAGAGCAACUCAGUGAGACCUUGUCUGUAAAUAAAAUACAAAAAAGAGCUGGGAAUAUGGCUCAGUAGUUAAGCACCUCUGGAUUCAAUUCCUGGAAGCAAAAAAAAAAAGGUCUGGGGAUGGUUCUCAGAGGUAGCAUGCCCCUGGUUCAAUCCCCAGUAUCUAGGAGAAAAAUUUAUACACAAAACAUUUUUAUAUUUAAUAUAUAAAAUAUUUAUGUGUAUCAUACAUAUAAUAUACACUUUGUAUAUUAUAUAAUAUAUAUAUUUGUUAACCUGAUAAUUAUUUUUUUAUUUUUUUGUGGAGCUGGGGGAUGUAUCACUGAGCUACUCACCCAGCCCAGGACAUUGUUUUGAUCAUUGCUGUGUUCUCAUAUUCUAGAAUAGUGCCUAGGAUAUUGGAGUUGAAUGAAUAAAUUUAUUUAAUUUUCAAACAAAAAUAUAUUUGGUAUAUAAAGGACCACAUAACAAGGGGAAUAUCUGUGAAUAAGGUAUUAUUCCCGCCCCUAAAUUGCUUAUAACCAAAAAAAAAAAAAAAAAGCUGUUUCUUUAGCAUGAUAAAGUGCUACAUCAUUCUGGAAUUGGGGAGAUUAAGGCUAGUAUAAAGGGGUGUGCUUGUCAUCAGAGAUGAAGUCCUGCUUUGUCAGGCCUAUCAAUCAUUUGUGCUCUUUCUGGGAGGGCAGAAUUGAUGAUAGUUUAGUUCAUUACUGGCUUUUUAGGUUACAAUUCCUGAUUGGUCUUGCCUUGUUAGAGCAGUUAUGACCUUUUGAAGAAUUUCUUAAAAAUCCCAUUAUUAGUCUUAAUUCUUUUUGGGUGCCUUCUAGGUAUCUUCUAAUGUAGCCCCUGCCUCCCAGGAUGAGUGAAAAGAGUUCACCAACUUUACCUUCCGCAUAUCUGAAAGUUCUUUCUGGUAAUCCUGCCCAUCUGCUUACUAACUAUCUGGUCUUAAAGCUCUCUGAACCUGUUUCUGUACCUGUCAAAUGGAGAUAAUGACAAAUGACACCAGUCUUUGUUAUGAAAGUUAAAUGAUGAAUAUAUAAUUUUAAAAAUAGAAUGGAAAGUGGAAGAGGGAUUGUUAUUUUCUUUUUAAGUAAAUACUAUAUAUCUCUGCCCUAUUUUGAAAAAAGUUAUAAUAUAUACUUAAUUGAAUGUAUAUUUUAUAUGUGUAUGUAUAUGUAUCUGCAUAUCUAUAUAUCCUCUCCACUCCCCUGGACUGGGAAUUGAACCUGGGGGUGCACCACCACUGAACUACAUUCUUAGACUUUAUUUUGAGACAGGGUUUCACUAAGUUGCCUAGGCAGGCCUUGAACUUGUGAUCCUCCUGCCUCAGCCUCUCAGGUUGGUGAGAUUACAGGUGUGCACCACUGUAUGCAGCAGAGCUUUUGCUCUUAACUGUUAUGCUAUCUGUCUUUAGUAGGUUGAGGGGAAGAGAUUGAACAAGAACUGCAUCUUGUUGAACUUGAACUGAGUGUAAAGGGUUCUGACAUUAUUAACUUUUAUUUCUGACCAUAAGCAUCUUAUCAUCAUAGCAUGUGCCUUAAUCCUCUGAACUGGUUCUUCCCUCAAUCCAAAGAAAUAUAUGAGCAAUAGGUUAAUUGUAGUCUCCUCUUGUAAGAUUGGGUAUUUCCUGGGCCAGGAAAUGAAGCUAAAUAAAUAUGUGUGUCUCAGUGUUCUUUGGAACAGAAGUGGGAGUUUCUCUGAUCUUUUGUGGUUAUGCUUGUUUCUCCUCUUCUUCUUUUUUAAAAUUUUUUAGAUGUUGGUAGACCUUUAUUUUUAUUCAUUUAUUUUUAUGUGGUAAAAUCGAACCCAGGGCCCCUCACACAUACUAAGUAAGUGCUCUACCAUUGAGCCAUAAUCCCAGCCCCUGUUUCUCUUCUUCUUCUUUUUUUUUUUGAGAGAGAGAGAGAGAGAGAAUUUCAAUAUUUAUUUUUUUUAGUUUUCGGCGGACACAACAUCGUUGUUUGUAUGUGGUGCAGAGGAUCGAACCCGGGCUGCAUGCAUGCCAGGUGAGCACGCUACCGCUUGAGCCACAUCCUCAGCCCCUGUUUCUCUUGUUAAUACAACUGGUAACAAAGAGAAGCAGAGCAGUGUACUGAGAAUUUUCAUGGAUUAUCUCAAUCCUUAAACAUAACCUUAUAAAUAGUCAUUCUUUCCAGAUAUGGUGGCAGUUGCCUAUAAUCCCAGCAACUUUGGAAGCUGAGGCAGAAGAAUCACAAAUUCAAGACCAGCCUGAGUAAUUUAGAGAGACCCUAAGCAAUUUAGCGAGGCCCUGUCUCAAAAUAAGAAAUAAAAGGGCUGAGGAUGUAGCUCAGUGAUAGAGUUCCCCUGGACUUAAUCCCUCGUACCAAAUAAAUACAUCGUCAUUUUUACUCCUGUAUUUUAUAGCGUCAAAGAGAGAUUAGGAAAUUUGCUUAAAGCUACACGGUUAAUAAAUAUAAGAGUUGGGAUUUGAAUAAAGUGGCCUGGCUUCACAGUCCAUGCUUUUAAGCUUUGUGUUCUGCUCUUUCUAGGCGUCUUUGACCUGUGUGAAAUAGGUGGUACAAAUUGAAUAUCCCUUAUCUGAAAUGCUUAGCAUUAGAAGUGUUUCAGGCUUUGGAGUUUUUUGGAUUUUGAAAUAUUUGCAUAGAUUUUUACUAGUUGAGUAUCUCUAAUCUAAAAAUCCAACAUCUAUAUUUUGAAACUCAAAAGGUUGCUCAACCUAUGUAGGCCAUGUGGUUUGAGAGGUAGAAGGGCCAGUUUUGUUUUUCCCAAAAUGGCAAGAUUUUGGUUAGUGACUAGGAAUAAAGAGGCCUUUGAUCUUUCUUGGUUCUGUUACCAACUUGUUAUGUCUAGGAGUUCAGUUUUCUUAGCCUUGUUGUCGUCAUUCAUUAAACAAAGGAAUUCCUCUAUAUGGUCUAUAAGGUCCCUUUAAACUCUCAAGUUCUGGGAUUGAUAAUAGCAAGUAAGAAGAAUGACAUUUUUUAGCUUGGUGUAGUGGUAUUUGUGCAGUCUUAGGAACUCUGCUUUAUGCAAGGAGGAUGCCAGAUUUCAGUGAAGGGUUGUGCCUCCUUCCUGAAGAAGGCAGGUCUGGGCUCUUUUUUGAAAUUGGUUGCCAAAGGAACUUAGCUGGUCAGCAAUAGCCAGAAAUGCUUUGGUUGAGGCUUGGGUACAGAUAACUAAAACAAACAGGUUUCAGUCCUUACCUCCCCUACUCCCCUGCCCCCCAUCAUUCCUUUCCCUUUCCUUUUCAAACUGCUAGUUCUGAACACUUUCAUGUGUAGGGCACUGUUUUAAGUACUUAACAAAGUGUUAUAUCAUUUAAUUUUUAUAGUAAGCUUGUGAGAAUAGGGCCUUUUCUAAAUUUACAGAUAAUGAAAUGGAAGGAAAUAAAUAAUUUGUCCACGUUUACUCAAGUAGAAAAUAGAGUCAAAUCUAUGCUUUUAGCCACUGGGUUAUACUGUCUGAGUAGGUCUAAAAGGAAAAAAAAAAAAAAAAGGUAGAAGGAGAACUUUAGUUUUUUGUUAGUGAGUUUUGUUUGUUUUUGUUUCGUUUUAUUUAGAAAUGAUGGACUCUCAGAGCUGGAAAGGGCCAUUAAAGUAAUUUAAUACAAUCUUGUCUCCAGUCUGCCAACCAAUUACAGGAAUGCUUUCUAUUGUCUCCCUGACAGAUAAUCAUCCAAAUUCCCUUUGAAUAUCUCCAUUGAUGGGGGAGUGCAUCACUUCUUGAAGAUAUUAUAUUGUUGAAUAGCUCUCUUUGGUGGAUAACUGUUUCUUCUUUUGAAUUGAAAUCUAAUUCAGUCUUCUCAUUAAUUUUAGGCCAAUCCCAUGAACCAUAUAGGAUAAAUAUAAUUCAUCUUCCAUAUACCAGUCUUGUGAACUUUUGGAGACAGUCUUCCUAAGGCAUAUUUGCAAUUUUCUUAUAGCAUCUAAACUUGCUUUGAAUUCUGAUUGAUAUGCACAAGAGCAAUCUCUGCCUCUUACUAUUUUGUAAAUUCAACCUAACAUCUUUAUUUCUUGUGAUAACUUAGGCACAAAGUGGGCCUUUCCCACAUCCUUGGAGAAUGAAUAGAUGGUGAGCUAAGCCUUUACAAUUGCAUAUGAUUUUGGAGGAUUUGUAAUCUUCUACUCUUAUAAUUUCUAGAAGUUCAGGCUGCUGCCUUGCACACUGUUAGAAGUCACAAAAUGGCUGUAAGUUUAUCCCAGGUCGAUGAACUGCAUUUACUACAUCAGACCACUAGGUGAUGAACAACUCAAAUCCAGACUGCCAGGGACUGUGGUGUACAAGGAUGGUUUCUGUUUGGAAUUGGAAAGGCCAUCCGAAGUCAUCUGGUCCAACCUUAUUAAAAGGAUUUUUGGGAGUAAAGAGAGGAAAUGUGUUUUUUGUAUACUUUGUUUUUCCUGGGUUUGUUCUAAUUUUAGAUACUGAUUUUGCUAGGUUGUUUCUUUGAUUUUUAUACAAGAGGGGCAUGGACAAUCUUUUUUUUUGAGAGAGAGAGAGAGAGAAUUUUUUUUUUUUUAAUAUUUAUUUUUUUUUUAGUUUUCGGCGGACACAACAUCUUUGUUUGUAUGUGGUGCUGAGGAUCGAACCCGGGCCGCACGCGUGCCAGGCGAGCGCGCUACCACUUGAGCCACAUCCCCAGCUCCUAUGGACAAUCUUUAAAUAUAUAUUUCUUUAAUUUUUAAUUUUUCUUAUUCCAUAUUUUUUAUUGGUGCAUUAUAGUUAUACAUAAUGGUGGGAUUUAUUGUUACAUAUUUGUACAUGCACACAAAAUAAUAAUAUAAUUUGGCCAAUGUCAUUCCCCAGUAUUUUCCUUUUCUCUUUCCUCUUCCGGUCUCUUUACUCCACUGUCUCUCUUCCAUGAACAGUCUUUUUUUUUUAAUUUAUUUUUUAGUUUUCGGCAGACACAACAUCUUUCUUUGUAUGUGGUGCUGAGGAUCGAACCCGGGCCGCAUGCAUGCCAGGUGAGCGCGCUACCGCUUGAGCCACAUCCCCAGCCCCAUGAACAGUCUUUAUAUGUCCAAUUUUUUAAACAUUUAAAUUAAAUUUAUUUUCUGACAUACAAAAACAAAAUUGUACACAUUCAUGGUAUAUCAUGUGAUAUUUAAAUCAAGUUAAACAUAUCUAUUCCCUCAUAUAUUUCUUUCUCUUUUUUUCUUUUUUGGUACUGGAGAUUGAACCCUGGGGUAUUUUACCAAUGAGCUAGAUCCCUGGCCCUUUUUAUAUUUUAUUUUGAAACAGGGUCUCCAAUAAGUGGCUAAGGGCCUCACUGAGUUGCUGAGGCUGGCCUUGAAAUUGCAGUCCUCCUGUGUUAGCCUCCCAAGUCACUGGGAUUACAGGUGUGUGCCACCAUCCCCAGCUCAAACAUUUAUUUCUUUAUGGUAAAAAUAUUCAAAAUUAUUUCUUCUUUCUGUUUGAAGUAUAUAGGACAUUAUUGGUAUCAAUGUCAUCCUUCUGUGCAAGAGCACAGCAGAAGUACUACUUUUUUUUUUUGGUACUGGCAAUUAAACCCAGGGGUGCUUUACCUCUGAUAUGCAUCCCUAUUUUUUUUUUGAGAUAGGGUCUUGCUAAAUUGCCAAGGCUGGCCUCUAUUUUGCAAUUUUCUUGCCUCAGUCUCCUGUGUUGAUGGGAUUAUAGCCGUGCGCCACCACACCCAGCAGCACACUAGAGCUUCUUACUCCUGUCUAACUAUAACUUAGUAGCCGUUGAUCAACCUCUUCCACUCCUUAUUCUUUCUUUCUCUUUCUAUCCUGUGGUAACUAUUGUUCUAUUCUCAACUUACAUAAGAUCAGCUAUUUUUAUUUUCCACAUAUGAGUGAGAUCAUGCAGUACUUGUCUUUCUGUUCCUGGCUUAUUUUACUUAAUAUAAUGAUCAUCAGUUUCAUACAUGAUGCUACAAAUGACAGGAUUUUUUUUUAAAAAGAGCCCAUUCUUGCCAGGCACAGUGGGUCAUGCCUGUUAUCCAGUACCUUGGAAGCUGAGGCAGAAGGAUCACAAGUUCAAAGCAAGCCUUAGCAACUUAGUGAGGCCUUAAGCAACUUAGUGAGACCCUGUCUCAAAAUGAAAAGGGCUGGAUGGGGCUGGGGUUGUAGCUUAGUGGUAGAACACUUGACUUGCGCAUGUGAAGCACUGGGUUCAAUUCUCAGCACCACAUAAAAAUAAAUAAAUAAAAUAAAGGCAUUAUGUCCAUCUACAACUUAAAAAAAAAAAAAAGGCCUGGAGAUGUGGCUCAGUGGUUAAGUGUCCUUGGUACAACCCCUGGUACCAAAAAAAGAAAAAAGAUUUCAUUCUUUUUUAUUCCCGAAUAGUAUUCCUUUAUGCAUAUGUUCUGCAUUUUCUUUAUCCAUUCAUCAGUUGAUGGACACUGAGGUUGUCUCCAUUUCUUAGCAAUAGACCUGGCAGUGCAAUGUCUUCUUUGUUCAAUUCUUUGUAAACUUCAUGCAUGAAUGAUGUCUUGAUUGGGUUUAGGAUUCUCCAUCCUCCCUACUGGGGAUUGAACUCAGGUGUGCUUUACCACUGAGCACCAUCCCCACCCCUUCAUUUAUUUAUCUUUUGAGACAGGGUCUUGCUAAAUUAUCUGGGCUGGCUUUGAAUGGUGAUCUUACCUCAGCCUCCUUAGUAGCUGGGAUUACAGGAGUAUGCCACUCAGCCUAGCUGGGUUCAGGAUUCUUGAAAUACUCGUCUUAGUCUCUAUAAAGACUGUAAGCAGCUUUUCACUAUCUUGAUUUUCUAGUGAUACAGAUGAGAAGUUCAGUGAAUAGGAUUUUUUUUCUUUUGUGAAUAAUAACCCGUUGUCUCUGGAGGUUUCUGAAUUUUUUUGUUCUUGCUUAGAGUUUCACCAUAAUAUGCUGAGGUAUAUUUUUUUGGAGGGUACCAGGGAUUGAACUCAGGGGCACUCGACCACUGAGCCACAACCCCAGCCCUAUUUUGUAUUUUAUUGAGAGACAGGGUCUCACUGAGUUGCUAAGUGCCUCGCUGUUGCUGAGGCUGGUCCUCCUGUCUCAGCCUCCCAAGCCGCUGGGAUUACAGGCAUGUGCCACCGCACCCAGUCAGUAUCUUUUUAAAGUAACCCUGCUGGGCACUUGAUGAGCUUAAAUCUUUCUUAAAGGACAUUGUAUUGCUUUCCUUCUUUCUGUUUCUAGUCUCCUUACUUUAUAGAAGAAGAAACUGAAACCAAACCCAGAAAGAUGAAAUGUCUUGCCUAUAAUCAUAUAGUUAUGAUUGAACCUCAAGAUAACUUGAUUCUUUGAACUAAAAUUUUAUUGUAUUAAUAUUGCUUCAGUGAGUGGGCCAUUUUGAAUAAUUUGGAAAGUUUUUAGUGAAACAGGAAUUUUGGAAAGGGUUCAUGGGGAGGUGAACAAGGAAGAAAAGAUAAUAAAAUUCAUUACAAUUAAAAUAUAGCCACGUCCAGGUGUGGUGGCACACGCCUGUAAUCCCAGUGGCUCCAAAGCUUGAGAUAGGAGGAGCGAGAAUUCAAAGCCAGCCUCAGCAACAGUGAGGUGGUAAGCAACUCAGUGAGACCCUGUUUCUAAAUAAAAUAUAAAUUAGGGCUGGGGAUGUGGCUCAAUGGUUGAGUGCCCCUGAGUUUAUUAUUGGUAACCCCCCCCCCCCAAAAAAAAAAUGUGGCUAGGACUGAAGAUGUAAUUCAGUGGUAGAGCACCUGCUUGGCAUGCAUGAGGCCUUGGGUGUGAUCCCCAUAUUGAAGAAAAAAAAAAAAAAAGGAAAAUCUGCCAUUUUUGAAAGACUAAAAAGUUUAUAAGUCCCUUACUAUCACAAUUAAUGAGCUACCCCAAAGCUCUAAAACUGAAUAAAACGAGAAAGUUGCUUAAGCACUCAGGGAAUUAGAUAUUUAGUAGUCAGUGGAUAAGAGUGGUCAUGCCCUGUUAUAAAUAUUGGAAAACAUAUAAAUGGCAUCUGAAGGCUGGCUUGGAGACAGACAUCAUAAACCAUGUCUUAUCACUGGUCUGGUUUCUGUUUUGAGUUCCAUCCUGAGACCCUUUUCUGAUGGGAACCACCUGUUCCUAGCUCUAUUGAUCUUUGGAUUUCCCCAGCUCUACAGUACCUUUCAGUUUUGAAAUGAAACCUACCUCAGAGGGUGAGGUCAAGUACCAAGAGGACUUUGACAGCUCACACCAGGUUGUUUUAUUUUCCAGGGCUGUCUGGUAUGUGUCUGCGUGAGCUGUGAGGCUCAGCAAACUGUGAUAGAGAGUAAUUGAUGAUGAAUCAGCUAUUGUGUAAGGCCUGGGCAGUGUCAUUUCUUUGGGUGACCAGGAAAACAUGAGGAAGUACGUUGUGUUUUAUCCACAGAAAGUUGAAAGUUAAGAGCACAGUCCACCAGAGAGCUGCCUAUGAUCUCUCUGCCUUUGGUUCACUUAAGAAGGAGAAGCUUUAUCUCAGCUGCUUCUUUCUUCAUUUGUAGAAUCUACUCACCUCCUUUUUAUUCAAGCCUCUAGCCUCCUCUUGCUGCUCCAUCUAUAGUAAUCCUUUAUAGUGUGCUUCCUAGAAUUGCUGCUUUGUGAAGUGACUCCUUUAGAUACCCUUCCUUCCAACUUGGCUCUUCACAAAAUACAGCUUGUCUUGCUCCCUUUGCUGUAAACCUGGUUUCCACCAGAUUACAGCACUUCACUUGGAAUCUUUACAAAUAGAACUAGCUCACCCUUUAAUUCACCCUUAAAUGACUUUGCCUGAUUGUCCUCAUCCCCAUUUCCCAGCACUUGGGAGCUGCUUUUAGACCUUCAAAUAUCUUUUCCCCGUUGAGAUUUCUACCUGAUCCUUGUGAUCCUUGUUCUUUCUUUCUUUUUUUUUUUUUUUUUUGUACCAAGGAUUGAAGCCAAGGGUGCUUAAACACUGAGCCACAUCCCCAUCCUUUUACAUAUUUUAUUUAGAGACAGGCAGGGUCUCUCUGAGUUGCUUAAGGCCUUGCUAAGUUGCUGAGGUUGGCUUUGACCUCCCUUUCUAGGCCUGUGGCCCUACUUGGGGGUUCGGUGGCUAGGACUGACCUGGGGCCAAGGAUUCAGAAUAGAGUGUGGAAUUAGGGGGAUUGGUGUUAGCAUUUUCAGAUUUGGGCAGAUAGGAAGCCGGAAGAUGUGAACAUGAAGACUAGUGGAGUGUGGGAGGGACAAACAGAAGAUAUCUUUUAUAGGCUUCCUCUUUUGCCCAUUCUGUUUUGGAAAAAAAAAAAUUUUUUUUUUUUUAACUUAGAGAAAAAAGGGUGAUUACUAAAAAACAAAAAAUCCCCAAAAGGGUAAUUGCUGUUUGGGGUUUGGGGUAUGGCUCGGUGGUAAAAGGAGUGCUUGCCUAGCGCUCAAGUCUCAUUGCAUAUCUGCAAUCCCAGUUGCUCAGGAAGCUGAAGCAGGAGGAUCACAUAUUUGAGGCUAGCCUCUCCAAUUUAGCAAAGCCCUAAGCAAGUUAGUGAGACCCUGUCUCAAAAAACAGGAAAAAAGUGGGGGCUGGGGCUGCGGAUAUAGCUCAGUGGGAAAACACCUCUGGGUUCAAAGAAACAAACAAAAAGGCCCUGGAUUUGAUCCCCAGCACUACAAAAAACAAACAAACAAACAAACAAAAAAACCACCAGAAACAUACAUACACACACACACACACACACAAAGUAUAAUUUAGAAAGAAUAUGGCAAGUUAUCUUUUUAAAAAGUCAAAAUAUUGUAAACAUAUAUAUAUAUGUUUUUUGUUUAUUUGUUUUGGCACUAGGGAUUUAACCCAGGGACCCUUUACCACUAAGCUAUAUCUCCAGUCCUUUUUAUUUUUUAUUUUGAGACAGGGUCUCCUAAAUUGUUGAGGUUGACUUUGAAUUUGGGAUCCUCCUUCCUCAGCCUACUGGAGUUGCUAGGAUUACAGGCAUGUACCAUUGUGCCCAGCUGUAGAAAAUAUUUUGACUACUCCCCCCAUCUCAAUUAUUUUUAUAGUCCUUAGUGGUAACACACUGGUGUUUUAGAAUGAAACUUUCAGACUACUUUUUUCCCAUGAGUUUAUAUCCAUUUGUAUGAAGUGCAUUUUGGUGAUUUAUUUACACAAAUAUUAUUACAUUUUAUGUGUCAUUCUGGUAUUUCCUUUGUUUUUUUUUUAAAUUUUUUUUAGUUGUAGAUGGAUAUAAUAUCUAUUUUUGUGUGGUGCUAAGGAUCUAACCCAGUGCCUCACAGCGCAAGGCAACUGCUCUACCACUGAGCUGCAGCCCCAGCCCCUCCUUUUUUGUUUUAAGAAUGUGCCUUGCCAGUAUUCCAUAUUAGUACAUAAAGAUACAUUUCGUUCUUUUUAAAAAAAUAUUUAUUUUUUUAGUUGUAGUUGGACACAAUACCUUUAUUUUAUUUAUUUUUAUGUGGUGCUGAGGAUUGAACCAUGUACUAUGCGAGCACUCUACUGCUGAGCCACAACCCCAGCCCCACAUCUCAUUCUUUUUGGCUUCUGUGUAGUGUUCCAUAGACUGGCUAAUAACUUUUUUUUUUUUUUUUUUUUUGUACCCAGGGAUUGAACCCAUGGGUAGUUAGCCACUGAGCCACAUUCCUAGCACUUUUUAUUUUUUUUUAUUUUGAAAUAGGACCUUGCCAAGUUGUUGAGGCUGGCUUUGAACUUACAAACUUUCUGCCUCAGCCUUCUAAACUGCUGGGAUUACAGACAUGCACCACCACACCUGGCAAUAUUUAACUCUUCUAUUGAGGGAGAUAAGAUAUUUCUAGUUUUUUAAUAUAAUAAAUGAUUCUUGUUUUAAAUGUUGGCAUUCUGCUGUUAGGCCUUUUCCACCGCCCUGUGCUUUUCCUCGUACUUACUCUGGGUGAUCUCAGCCUCUUUGACAGUUUGUUACCAUCUACAUGUGGAUGAUUCCCAAAUCUCCAGCCCAGAUCUUUCUCCAGACCAGAAUAUCCAACGGCUUAAUGGAAAACUCCACUGGAAUGUCUUUUAUUCAUGACAAAACACAGUCUCCUGCUUUGUCCCACUUGUUGUUUCUCCAAUGCCCUAUCAUAUACAUUGUAAUUUAGCAUGUAAUGACUGAAGCCCAAAACCUAGUAGGGAUGGAUAGUUCUUCCUUCUUUCCCACAUCUGAUGACCAGUUAGUCACUAGGACUUGUCUUCCUUCCAUCCUCAGAUUUUUAUUUUCUUUUUUUCCUAAGCACUAGGAAUUGAAUCCAGGGCCCAUUAUUGCUGAGCUACAUCCCCAGCUUUUUUUUUUUUUUUGAUAUAGAGCCUUGCUAAGUUGCCCAGGCUGGUCUCAAACUUGAAAUGCUCCUGCCUCAGACUCCUGAGUUGCCGGGAUUAUAGGCAUGUACCACCAUACCCAGCUCUUCAAUGUUUCUUUUUUUUUUUUUUAAUUUAUUUUUUAUUAGUGCAUUGUAAUUAUACAUGAUAGUGGGAUUCAUUAUGCCAUGUUUGUAUAUGUAUAUAACAUAAUUUUCUUAGGCUUCUUCCUUUUCCCUUCCUUGAUAUUUCUUGAAUCUAGUCAUUUUCAUUUUUCAUUGCUACUACCCUAUACCUGGGUUUCCUAAUUUAAAAAACCAUAUUGUGAGCAUUUAAAUGAAAAAGAAAUCUAUCUAUCAUUCUACUUACUUGAAUAUCUAUCUAUCUCUAUAUAUCCCUACCUCCAUUCCAUUCUCCACACUGUAAUAAUCUUUAUAAAAUAUAAGGAUGAUUAUGGAGUUAUUCCUCUGCCUAAAAAUAGUUCAGUGAUAUAUCUGUUAGGCUUUUGUUCAUGUUAUCUCCACCUAGAAUCCUUUCCUAUUUGAUUUUUGAAAGGCUGGCUUCCUUUUAUUGAGAUACCGGCUUUUAAGAUAGAUGCUGAUGGCAUAUGCUUGUAAUCUCAGUGAUUUAGGAGGUUGAGGCAGGAGGAUCACAAGUUCAAGGUCAGUCUCAGCAGUUUAGUGAGACUCUCAGCAUCUUGGACUCUGUAUUUCAAAAUAAAAGGGACUAGAAUGCUCAGUGGAAAAUUGUCCCUGGGUUCAAUCCCGUACCCCAUAGCCCUACCAAAAAAAGAAAGAGAGAGAUAUACAAGCUUUUAAAUGUCAUCUCUUCUGAGAGGCAUUCCUCAGACUGAUUAAUAAUUUUAAAAGUAGUCACCAGAUAUUUUCUAUUCCAUUAUCUUAUUCUUUGAGUAAUACUUAGUACUAUCUGAUAUUUUUCUGAUUUAUUUGCAUAUUUGUUUAUAGUAUUCUUUAAUUAGAAUUUGGCCCUUUUUAUUGUCAUUCUACUUACUUGAUCACCUUUGGUAAUUCCAGUGUUUGCCAGGAUGAAUUUCUAACAUGCUUGACUUGAAUCAUCUAAUGUGCUUGUGUUUAGUUUCCAAAUCAUGUUCAUGAAACUAGAGUAAACCUGACAGGGGACUUGCCCAUGAAAGGGACAUGUAUGCUUAGGAUGAAAUGGAGAACCAGUGUAGGAAGAUUGUUAACUCAGGUAGGAAGAUUGGCUGAAGACAGAAUAACUGAGAGUGGAACAAAAUUGUAAGCAAGGUGAGAAGCAAAAGGCCUGAGGGAUAAGGCGAGGCAAAGAUGAAACAGGAAGCUGAACCAUUAGGUCAGAAACCUAGAGAAUCAGGAUAGUGUAAGCAGGGACAGGGCCAGCAGUUCAGGAUUAGGGUCAUAAAUCAACUUGGGGACUACUUAAAUCAUCUUUUAGUAGUCUUACCUUUUUCAUCUAGAAACAGCUUUUGAAUUAUCAGGUCAUUGACCUACAAGUGUUUGAGUGAGAUUGCAUAUUCUUUUCUUUGUAUUUUAUUUGCUAUUUAUUUUAAAAUCAAAGUCUACCUUACCUAUCCUCCCUCAGAUUCUGCUACCAGAUUCUGUUACCAGAUUCUGUUUUGUAUUCCUUUAAAUAUAUCAGGUUCAACUAUCUCUGAAAUAAGUUUCUUAUAUGAAAGCCUGAAGCAGUCCUGGAGUUCCAUUCAGGUAGGAUGAAAGGAGGGAGCACUCCUCAGACCAUCUCUUCCCACUGAACCAGGCAUAGGAGCUCAGCAGCCUCAGGAAUUCAAGACUCUGUUGAGACUGAAUCUGGAAUUUUGGGAGGGUCAUAAGAGUUUAGACUAUAGGAAGGAAUUCUAUCAAUGAAGCAUAGUCAGAAUUAGUAGAAGACUGAGUAGAUAUGUGUAGAUGGCAGGAUCUAAGGGUGUGGAGUAGAUUUCAAGAUUUCUGAUCUGGAAUGGUCCUCAAAUUAGGCAAUGUUAGGGGCUCUGAUAUACCAAGUAGAGAGUCAUUAGUAGUACUAGUCCUUAGCCCUUAGAUGUUUUUUGUAUUUUACUGUGUAGCCUAGAGCUCUUCUAUAUGCUGAGAAGGAGUCAUGAGAGUAGAAACAGUACUAACUGAGAGCAGAAGUAGUUUCUCUCUCUCUCUCUUUUUUUUUUUUUUGGUACCAGAGAUUGAACCCAGGGGUGUUUAACCACUGAAUCACAUCCGCGGCUCUUUUUAUUUUGAGACAGGGUCUUGUAAGUUGCUUAGGCUGGCCUUGAACUUGUGAUCUUCCUGCCUCAGUCUCUGUAGUCACUGGAAUUACAGGCAUACACCACUACACUCAACGAACAGUUUCUCUUUUGAAGGUUAGAUGGAGUGGUUGUGUGUGCAGAGUGGAUAGUCUAUAGCCAGUCAUCUGGCCUGUGUAAGGCAAGACAUCUACACUCCCCUUCUAGGGCUCUGUUGGGAAAAUUAGGCUAAGAGUCAGCAAUUGUGACCAUUGUUCAUGAUUUCCCCAUGUAUUCCUGGUCUUUGCUUAUCCCGCUGCUCUAAGCUCCAGGCUCUGAUGUUCUGCCUUCUCUUUUAUGGUUUAAGGCCUUCAAAUUGCAUAUUCAUUCUGAAUUCUCCUUCUAGAUUAUUCACUCCAUACCCAGCUUGGCUUUGCCCCUAUAUCAUCCCCUAAUUUUGACAUUGCUAUCCAGGUUUAAGUAAGGGCCUUCCUCCAUUAACCCUGUUUCUAGAGCUAUUAUUUUUAAACUUUAAUGUGUAGAAAUUACCCAUGGAGUCAAGUGGGAGCCUGGAUACUUGUUUAAAACAGACUCCUGUUCUCUUCCUAGAUAUUCUGAUUCAUUAGAUGUGAAAUGGUGACCAGGAAUCUAGUUUGAUCAUCUUCCAGGCUGAUUCUGACCCUUGACAGAGGUCCCUGUCAGCUCCUCAUCCCUAAAAGAGCAGGAAGAGAAUUUGAAUCCUUUAUUUGGGUUUUAAGAUCCUAGAACCAUAGUCUUGUUGCCUGUCAUGCAAUGAUGACAGUGUCUUAUAUUCUGUCCCUCCAUCUCCUAUGAGAGUGCCAGAACAUGAGACACCGUAGGAACAGAGCCCAGGUGAGGUGGAAGACCUUAAUAUCUCUCCAAUUGCAGAUCAGUAUCUUUGGGGUUUAUAGAGAACUUUGGCACUGGACUUAGAGAAAGUAGGUUAAUGUAGACCCUGAGGCUGCCAGUCACACUUCAGAUUUGCCUCUGGAGUUCUUCUCAUUUUUAUUUACAUUGACUGUGCUCUGACAUUGGUUUUCCUUAUCUAACCUUGAAGCUGCCCUCACUCUCCAUUGUGGCCAUCUUCUAUACUGCUUCCAUCCAUCUUUCUAUGGACAACUUGAUGUUAUCUUUCUCCUUUAAAAUCUUCUGUUACAUCCCUAUUACCUAUAUACUCAAGUCCAAAUGUAUCAGGUUGGAAUAAACAAUCAUGAACAAUUUGGCCCAAAUUGUCUAAAGAUCUGCAAUAUCUUAUGUUUCUCCAAUCUCAUUCCAGGCUACUCUCCUCCUUCCUUACUCCUACCUUCACUUGCUUACAGUGGCUUGAUCAUUUUUCCAGCUAUUUCUGGCCUCAGGGCCUUUGCAAUACCAUAUGGCCUCUGCCUGGAAUACUUUUUACCUUGUACUUUAUCUCAUUAACUAUCCUUUGACUUACCAUGUCAACUAAUAUUAGUAUUUGUAUAAAAAAGAGGGCAACUUUGUAUAUCUGUAUAAUCUCCUCUUAGAGAUCUUUUUUGGCCACUGUAUAUCAAGAAACUAUCUUAGUCUUCCAUUGGCUUUAGUCAGAUCACUUAAUGCUAUUUACCUGUUUGUCUUUCUCUCCUUUUAGAUUAUAAGCUCCAUGAGGGCAGGGGUCUUCUUGUUCAUGAUUGUAUUUUCAGUACCUUUUGCAUAAAGCCACUCAAUAAGUCCUUGUUGACUAAUCCAUAUUUUUGUUUUCUUUUUAGUAUCUGUUUUGCUGCAUUGUGGCUCUGCACAGCUCUUGCCCUUUGCAUAAGCUGUUGCCUGUCCCAGAAACACCCUUUCUCUUAUUAACUUGUCAGAUUGCUUCUUGUCCUCUACUGUUUCUUUAAGCAUUUUUUUGACCUUCCCAGGUUGUGCUGGUUCAACAGAGACAGUGUUUUGUUCCUCUUGAAUAGGUUUUCUCACCCUGUGUUGUGAUUUUGCCUAUGUGAAAGAUAGGUGGUAUUGCCAGUUUUAUAGGUGACCAACUGGAGGCUCUGAGAGAUUAAUUAACUUGAAAAUAGGAAAUCUGAUAAUUUGAACCCUGAGAAGCCCUGUUCUACUUCACUAUGCUCCCUCCAAAAAAAAAAAAAAAAAUCAGCAGAUAUAGAAACACUGAAGUCAAAGGGGUGCUUAUUAUUAUUAUUAGUUAGGAAAACUACUGUGUAUGCUCUUUAAAGUAUCCUGAGAGUUAAACACAGUAAAAUAAGUAAUAUUGAUAAGCCAUUAGUAGGGAUAAUAGAGAAAAAGGGUGACUGUAGUGUUCAAAGGAUGAUGUAUAUUUCAUGUAUUUUCUUGGUCAUAUCCUUGGUGACUUUUUUUUUUUUUUUGGCUACUGGGAUUGAAUCCAGGGUUGCUUUACCAUGGAGCUACCACCCCAGCCCUUUUUAUUUUUUAUUUUGAGACAGGGUCUUGCUAAGUUGCUGUGGCUGGCCUUGAACUUGUGGUCCUCCUUCCUCAACCUCCCGAGUCGCUGGAAUUAUAGGUAUGCACAACUGCGCCCAGUUCUCCUUAGUGUCUUCUUGUGAUUCUGAGAAAACUAACCUACAGCUUGGUAGAAAUGAUGUGGAGCACUAUUAAAUUCAAACCAAAGCAGUUAUCAAUAAUUAACUCAUGAUUUCUUAGAGGAUAUAUGAAGAAUGACGUCUGAACAUUUUUUUUUUUUUUUUGAGGGGAACAAUGUGUAGAGAGCCAUCAGUACAUUUUGCUUAAAAAUAUAUGGGCUAGGGGUGUAGCUUAGUGGUAGAGUGCUUAUCUGGCUUGUGUGAGGCCAGAUAACAGCAAUAACAACAGCAACAAAACAUUGAUAAAAACUAGUUGAAUAAAUUAUAAUGGAUAUGUUAGCUUUCAUUGCUGGGACAAAUUAGUUGAGAAAAUCAAUUUAAAUAAAGAAAGAUUUAUUUUGGCUCAUGGUCUCAGAGGUUUCUGUCCCUGUUUGGCUGGCUCCAUUGUUUUUGGGCCUGUGGUGAAGCAGUACAUCAUACUGAGGAGGGUGUGGUGGAACACAGUCACUCACCUCAUGGUAACCAGGAAGCAGAGAGAGGGAAAGGGGCUAUGGACAGGAUAUAGUCUCUAAGGGCAUGCCCCUAAGGGCUCUGAACCAACUGGAUUCUAUCUCCUACAGUUUCUACCCCUUCCCAAUAGUCUAUUUAGCUUUGAAUACUCAAGUGAAUUAAUUCGUUGAUGAGGUCAGAGUCCUCAUGAUCCAAUCAGUUCCCAUAAUUCCCAGUUUUGAACAGUGCUGCAUUAAGAAUAAGUCUUCAUAGGCUGGGGAUGUGGCUCAAGCGGUAGCGCGCUCACCUGGCAUGCCUGCGGCCCCGGGUUCGAUCCUCAGCACCACAUACAAACAAAGAUGUUGUGUCUGCCGAAAACUAAAAAAUAAAUAUUAAAAAAAUUCUCUCUCUCUCUCUCUCUCUCUUUAAAAAAAAAAAAAGAAUAAGUCUUCAACACAUGAACUGUUGGGACAUUCCAGAUCCAAACCAUAAAGGUGGUUAUUGCUGUAUUAUGUAGCUAUCAAAAAGAAUGAUACAAAUACAUACUGGUGUGGAGACCUAUUAUUAAGAGAUAACUAGAGAGAGGUACAUAAUAGUAUUUAUGGUUAUUGUGCUAGUAUUACUAUUCAUAUGAGAAAAAAGGGCAAAUUUAUAUACCUAUUACAUACCCAGACUAAAAAAAAUUGGGGAAUUUUGAUUGAUUUUGAAACUUAAGAUAACCUGUGUACAACAGAGUAUCACACUAUUUUUCUUGCUCUUCCUACCAUUUGUUUUAUUAGCAUCUUUAUUCUUCCUGUUCCAUUCAAUAGAAAUCUUGGAACCCCCCUGCCCCCACACACACACCCCUGCACUUUUGAGGUAUUGGGGAUUGAACCUUAGGGCCUUACACAUGCUAGACAGGUGCUAUACUGCUGAGCCACAUCCUCAGUCCUUUUUGAAUUGGAUUGGAUUGAAUUGAAUUUAUUUAUUUUGGUGCUAGGUAUUGAACCUAGGGGCACUUAACCAUAGAGCCACACCCCCAACCCUUUUUAUUUUUUGAGACAGGAUUUUACUAAGUUGCUUAGGGUCUUGCUAAGUUGUGGAGACUGACCUUGAGCUUGAUAUUUUUCUGCUUUAGCCUCCCAAGUCACUGGGAUUACAGGUGUGCAUAAACCACGCACUUGGCUAGGAGCAAUCCUUUUUAAAAAAAUGUGUAUGUAUGUUGCUUUUGAUUUCCCAAAUGGAGUAAGUUCUCAAAGGAAGGAGGCAUCUCUUAAGAUUUUAUCCUAUAGUGAGUAGCAUAAGAUUUGCUUAUUAAACAUUCAACAAAGAUGAGAAAGAAAGACUCUUCUAUAAAAGGAAUGAUUGUUUUUUUCUGACACAUCUUGCAUACUUCUCUAGCAGGUUGUUUCUUCUCUUUGACAGACUUAAGUGUGUUGGGGGCUUGGGGAGUGGGGGAGGGGUGGGGAGAGAGGAAAGUAGGGGAUGAGGAGAGGAAGGAGAGAAAGAAAGAGAAAAUGAAUUUGUGAAUGUUUCCUGCUGAAAGCCCAGGAAAGCAGCAGAAGACAGAUUGGGGCCUAAAGUCUCUGGUCAAAUAGUAUGUAGUUUGAGACUUCUGUGUCAUAGCCCUAGGAGAACCUCAAAUUUCCAUCCUCUUUCUAGUAUCAGGCCUGGAUAUUUAAUCAGGUUAGCAGGUCAGCUGAACCUGAAUGUUCCUUUGACGUCUUAAAUUCAAUAGCACAUAGUAGGAAUAUGAUAAAAAGUAAUUAUGAUCAAAAGUGAUUUUUUUAAUAAAUUUUUUUAAUAUUUAUUUUUUAGUUUUAAGUGGAUACAAUAUAUUUAUUUAUUUAUUUAUUUGUUUGUUUAUUUAUUUAUUUAUUUAGUCAGUCAGUCAGUCAGGGAUUAAACCCAGAGAUACUUUACUGAGCUACAUCCCCAGCCCAUUUGUAUUUUAUCUUUUCAGGGUCUCACUAAAUUGCUUAGGGCCUCACUGAGUUGCUGAGGCUGGUUUUGAACUUGAGAUCCUCCUGCCUUAGACUCCUAAGUUGUUGGUGUUAUAGGUGUGGGCCACUGUACCUGGCUCCUCCAUCCCUCUUGUAUCCCCUUUUCACCCUGUGAGUGACCUGGCUUCUGGAAAGAAGAGGGAAAGGAUGAGGGAGGAUGGGGAAAGUUAAAGAACUUGGGAGGGUGUGUAGAUGUGCUCUCCUUAUUCUUUUUUAUUUAUUUAUUUAUUUUUAAAAUUUUUUUAAACAUUUUUUUAGAGAGAGAGAAUUUUUUAGUAUUUUUUUUUAGUUAUCGGCGGACACAACAUCUUUGUUUGUAUGUGGUGCUGAGGAUCGAACCCGGGCCGCACGCAUUCCAGGUGACGUGCUACUGCUUGAGCCACAUCCCCAGCCCCUCCUUAUAUUCUUUCUGGAACAAAGUAUGGGGAAGAAGAUAUGUAAGUGGGUGGGAGAACAUACACACUACCUGUACCACUUUCCUAGCACUUAAUCUGAACCCUUGUUUAUUAUUAACCAUCUCUUUAUGUGCUAAUCCUCUCUCACAGAGUAUAAGCAUGUAUAUGUGUAAAAUUUUUUUUUUUUUUUUUUGUAUUGGGGAUUGAACCUAGCGGGUGCUUUCUUUACCAUUGAGCUACAUUCCCAGGCUUUUUUUUUUGAGACAGGGUCUCACUAAGUUGCUUAGGGCCUUAGCCUUUUGAAUUGCUGGGAGAGAGAGAAAAAAAUAAAAAAGAGAGGAAAAAAAAAAAAGAAAGUAGCACAUGACUUUCUAUAGUUUUAAUCACACUGGGCAUUGCAGGGUUUUUUUUGGUACUAGGUAUUGAACCCAGGGCACUCAACCAUUGAGUUACGUCCCCAGCUCUUUUUUAUAUUUUAUUUUGAAACAGGGUCUUGCUAAGUUGCUUAGGGCCUUGCUAAGUUCCUGAGGCUGGCUUUGAACACACUAUCCUCCCGCCUCAGACUCCCGAGCUGCUGGAAUUACAGGUGUGCACCACCAUGGCUGGCUGGCAUUGUGUUUUUUGUCUUAUCCAUCCUACAGGUGAUAUAUCUUAUCCGUCUAACAGGUCACAUGAUAGUCAAGAGUAAAGAAGGUGUCUUUGGAACUAGCUUCUUAUAGCCUGAAUUCUGACUCAACUGCUUGUUGUGUGACCAAGUCAUUUACCUUCCUCUGUCUGAGUUUCAUCUUUAGUAAAGUAGGGAUGAUAAUAGCACCUAUUUUAAAGGAUUAUUAUAAGGAAUAAAUCAGUUCAAUUAAAAUGUUUAGAAUAUCAACUGGGGUAUAACACUCAAUAAAUAUGAUUUAAUUUGUAUUUUUUGAAUAUAAAAGAUUGAACAUCUUUACAAAUAUAUUUUGGAUUUUGUAUUUUUCUCUUUGACUUAUUCAUGUCCUUUGAACAUUUUUCCAAUGAUUUUUUUCUUUCUUUCUUCCUUUUAUUUCCCCCGCCCAGUGCUGGAGGUGGAACCCAGGGUAGUACUGUAGUAAACCUGUUUUGCUUUGUCUUUGUCCUCAUCAUCUCUUUUCAGAACUCUAGUUCCAUUCUUUAACUCAAGAUGGAGGUAAGGUGAUUCUUAUAUAACAGAGCACUUACAUGUCCUGUUGGCAGCUGCUGCCUGACAGAAACAAUAAUGACGGGUGAUUAACCUUUACAUAGAAUGCAUUAUAGCAUAGUCUGGAGCACUGACACACAUAAGCCCCUUAUUAUGAGUUUGAUGCUCUGUUAGGUCCAUUCCCCCAAAAUUCAUAUACACAUCCAGAACCUCUGAAUGUGAUCUUAUUUGGAAAUAGGGUUUUUGCAGAUAUAAUCAAGUUUCAGAUGAUCCUAUUGGCAGAUCCUAAUCCAAUGACUUUCUAAGGAGAGAGAGAGAUACAGAUGGUCACAUGACAGUGGAGGCAGAGAUUAGAGUUAUGCUGCUAUAAGCUCAGGAAUGGCUUUGCACUCCAAGGAUUGCCAGCAACCACAAGAAACUAGAGACGGCAAGGAAGAACUCCUUAGAGCUUUAAGAGGGAGUGUGAGCCUAUUGACACCUUAAUUUCAGACUUGUAGCUUCCAGAACUGUGAGAUAACAAAUUUCUGUUUUAAGCCAUCCAAUUCAUGUCAAUUUGUUGUAGCAGACCUAAGGAACUAAUAUAUGCUGUUACCAUCAUCUCCAUGUUCAGAUAAAGAAAACAGAAACCCAAAGAGGUGAGGUACUUUGAGAUCUCUGUAGAUACUGCUCUGAUUUUCUGGCUCCUGCUGAUGCUCUUGUUGGCUUUCCACCUUCCCCAACUUCUGGCAGUGCCAGAACUGAGCUCCUGAUAUGUCUCCCUUGUCUAACAUAUCAGGCCAUAGCCUUUCACCAGUUCUUACCCACUUCAUAUUGUAGUGCAGAAACUCAUUUCAAGAGACUUCUGAUGGUAUCCUGACCAUUAUAAUCAGUCUCUUUUUCACAGCUUUCCUCCUUUUUAAAUUAUUUUUCAUGCAGUCAGAGACCUGAUGUGACAAGAUUGGGGAUAUCCCUCAGCUGAUUCUGGCCAUUGUUUUUAUGAUUCCUGCUUCUGGCCAGUUGUAUCUUUUAGAAUUUCUGUUCUGAUAGCUCAGAUUUUGUGUUUUUAUUUGAAGUUUUCAGGAUCUCACAGCUUUCAGAACAUGGCUAUGAGCAGAAAAGGAGCAACUGUGUGGCUGCACCAGCUGUGAGGGGCAUCAGUCAUCAUGUUAUUGAUGAACUCAACCCAUCACAGUGGUUCUUUCCCUUGCACAUAGGAAGUGAGGGGUGGAAGUCAUUCUCUGAACCAGCUCAUCUUGAAUAGCUCCUUGACUGCUUAUGGACUCUUCUGCUGCCAUCUCAUUGCUGGCUGAGGAAUCUUGUUUUGCAGUAUAGACCUUUGGCUGUGGAUCCUGUUUUUAUUCUCAGCUACUCUCACUAGACUGUGAGCUCCAGGAAUAUGGGAACCAUAUCUGUUUAGUUCGUUACUCAGGAUAAGCAAAGACCUGGCACUUACUAGCCCCUCAGGAAGUGUUUGCUGAAUGAAGAAAUGAAUAUUGACCUUGAAGUUUCAGACUCUUGGUUUUUCUUCCCUCUUCCUGAAGCAAAGGGCCAAAUUAAGAACUUUAAAGUUUAAAGCAUUUGAGUCCUUAGUGUAUAUAUCAAAAUCAGUAUUGAAUGCAAAAAAGUAUAAGGAAAUACAGCAAAGAAUUAGGAAGAUGUAGUAAAAUUCUGAUUUUUAUUGUAGUGACUACUUUGAUAAAUAUAAAAUAAUUUAAGGGCUGGGGUUGUGGCUCAAAUGGUAGAAUGCUUGCCUAGCAUGUGUGAGGCACUGGGUUUGAUCCUCAGCACCACAUAAAAAUAAAAUAAAGAUAUGGUGUCCACCUAAAACUAAAUAUAAACAUUUAAAAAAAUAAUUUAAAAUAUUUGUUGUCAUAGUCUCUGCCAGUUUCCUAAACACAUACUGUUGGGUAAUCCUGCCUGGACCAGUCCCUUCCUCACCUAGACUUCACUUUCAGUUCUUUAUACCACCUGCUGAAGCUGCCAGCCAGCCUUUUCCACCCACAAGAGAUGUCUGGCUCCUGAGAACCCAGUCUGGCUGGUAUUCCUGGCUCCCCAGGGGCUUUCCAGGAAAGUCAAGUUGAAUAUACACACAAAAAUGCUAAAGAAUACCUGGCAAUGAGAAUUCCUAUGCUGAAUGUUGAUUUAUAGUGAGCAUAGCACAUUGUGCCAGGUGAUUAUACUAAGGCUGAUUUUAGCAUAAUAAUCUGCUUCUGUGAUCCUGUAUAUGGUAAGCCUAGAAAUUACUCUGUGAUCCUUCUUUCUGGAUCAUGGUGAGAGAAAUUAGGAUGCAGAUCCUUUCUACUUCCUGUGUUAAUCGGUGCUUCAUUGAGACCAUUUUGAAAGGAAAAGAAAAAUGUGAUGUUGGAAAUGGGGCCCAGGCCUCCCAUAGACUGUUCCAAGGCUCUGACUAUCCUCAAAUUCUAUUGCUUGAUUCCAAAGAGUUUAAAAUAGUGUUGGAAACCUCCUAGGAAAAAAAGUAUCACUAUAACUUCCUGGCUAAGGAAGUGGUGUGUGCUGGCUAUAGCAGGAGGGGCAGCUAAGGCUCCCAAGUUCUAUUCUGGACCUGUUACUGAUUUGAGGUAUGACAGCAAUCCGAGCUGACAUUCUGUAGAUCUGAUUUCUCAUCUUCAUCUCAGAGAGUCAUGGAGGCUGUGUUCCCAAGGAAAGAGGUGACACUGUAGUCUUUUUAUCCUGUGGGAGAGUCUCACCAUUAUAAUUCUUUCAUUUGAAUUUUUAAGUUCCUUUUUAAAAUACAGAAACACCCCCACAGAGUUAAUGUAGGAACCCAGCAAUACUGUUUACAUUGUACUUGAAUUCAUUUCACCAUCAGACUUGCUUUCCUUUAACAGUGUGAUAGGUCAGCUCUCAUAAGAGAUAGAAUCUUGGGAACUUUGAUAGGGAUUAGGAAAGGAAAGGAAAGGAAGGUUUGUAUGGGGAACACUUCAUGGCUUUGGACAGCCAGAGAAUAUCUUGAGGGCACCAGGUGCAUAAUGAACUAAAUGGGGAAAAACAGAUAGUUACCCCUUGAGAGUCAAGCAUGUAUUAGAUGCUUUUCAUGUAUUUUCUUAAUUAUAAUAUGAACCAGUAAAAAAUAUCAUCCUCAUUUUUGUACAUAGGCAAGUUGAACAUUGAAGUUAUAUAACUUGCUCAUGGUCACACAACUAAUAAAAGGCUGAGCUAGGUUUAUUCCUUGUGUCUGUCCAGCUUCAAAGUCCAUACUACUUUCUAGAGCUUUUCUGUCUCUUGUGAGAUUUAGGAAAGGAGGAUGAGGAAAGACAGGAAGAUACUAUCUUUCUCUACCUCACAAUUUUGCUUGGAGUGAUCCUUUUAGCCAGAGGAUCCUGUUUAUAGAAUACUAGGCUCUCUAUAUAGAAAUGCUGCAACAACAUAUAUGGGAAUGAUACCAAUAGGCUGUAGGGGAGGAUUAAAAAAGCCUUUGUUCUUUACCUCUACAUUUUCAGUGUAGCCCACAAGUCAAAAAUAACCAUGGGUAACUGGCUUACUGCUUAAGUGGCUCCAUCCUGUCCUCCACAUGAAAUCUGAUGUGUCUCAAGGAGUAAGCUGUGAUGGGUAAGAGGUGAGGGUGUGGUAUGCCUUCACUGUGUGUGUUGGAGCUGGUGACACCUGUUGUGUGUCUGUUACAAUGAAUUAGUACUGAGUAAACAAGAGGUAUCUCUCUUUUGCCUUUCUAAGGGAGACCAGGUGGCAAAAAGUACUGGCCCUGAUCCAGGGGAUCCUGGUCUCUGGACUAGCAGAAGGGUGUCAGGUGAUGGAAUAAAAAGUCUGGUCUGUUAAGUGGUAUAAUUUCAGAGGUUCCAAUAAUGUGUCCUAUCCCUCAAAGACUUGGCACAGCUGUUUGUUGUUGCUUGGAAUUCCACAACUGAAAUUUCUCCCCCUUGAUUUAAAUCUCUGAGACCCUAUUGAAUAGUGGUAGAGAGUAUACUUAGCAUGUCCAAGGCCCUGGGGGUUCAAUUCCCAGCAAACACACACACAUCCCUCCAGGAAGGGAUUUGAUGAUAAAGCAUCUUGGUCAUAUAAAUGAAAGUGUAAAGGAGUUUGUGAAGUUGAUUCUGAGAACUAGACUAAGGAAGGAGUAGAGAAGAGAGGACACUGCCCACCUAGUUGUAGAAACAGAAAAAAGGCACAAUGAAAUUGAGGUAAAGGUGCUGAAAAGAGAAACUGACUCCCUAAAGAAACUAUUUCCUUCACAGUUUUGUUUAUAAAAAGACAAAUAGCUAGCUUGGCAUAGUGGCUUACAUCUGUAAUCACAGUGAUUUAGGAGGUUGAGGCAGGAGUAUUGCAAGUUUGAGACCAGCCUCAGCAACUUAGCAAGUCCCUAAGCAACUUAGUGAAACCCUGUCUCAAAAAAAAAAAAAAAAAAAGCUUAGGUUGUGGCCUCAGUGGUACACUGUCCCUGGGUUUAGUUUCUAGUACCAAGAAAACAAACAAACAAACAAACAAAAAAUAGGUGAGAAUAGAGGUUCUUAACCCCAAAAGAGGGGCUGCUGAGUAGAGAGAUUUUCCCACCAGCAUGCUAUAUUACAGACAGUGUUGUUUGGAGGGUAGUAACUAGGAGUGUAGAAGCUUUGGGUCUGUGGUUUGCUGUGAUGUCUUUAGAUGAGGUGGUCACAGAUCUUAGGAAGAGGGAGGUACAGCUUCCCAGAAGUGAUGCAACCUAGUGGCGCAAAAGAGGCCACCACUGACACCAAGGGCAGGGCACUUCCUCAGUGGCUGCUGGUCACAGACAACUUUUGCUCUGUUUCCCAGUGAGUUAUGUUGUGAUGGGACUUUGCUGGAAAACAACACAAGCCAUGUCAACAGCAAUGACAAAGCACUUGGAGUGUGUACACAAAGGUACAGUUCCCCCUUGCCCUACUAAAUAGAUCCAAAAACUUUUAAGGGUAGCCCUUAUGAUUCAGAUAUAGAAAUAUUUUUUUGGCCUGAGUUUCUCCAUAGUCUUCCUAGUUGACUGGGCAUCCACUUUCAUUUUUCAGUGUUCUCAAAUGGCCUUUAUGAUAUGAAUUCUCAUGGCUUUUCCUUCCCCAGGGAAUUUUUUCUGGGGCAACUCAAAUCCAUAUCCUUCUCAACUCCUCACAGUGUUGUUCAUGGAUUCCCUUCACCUGCAGGCUACAAAUUCUACUCUGAACACAGUCCCAUCUUAAGUCCAGAGCAACUUCUUUAGGUUUCAUUCAGUUCUCUUGGAUUUUAAGUCAUUUCUUUUGGUACAUUCUUUAGAGAGCUAUCAUGAAAAUGACCUCUAUUCUCUUCUCCCCAGUGUUUGAUAAGAUCUGGACCUCUUUUCUUAACAGAAUCAGCUCAACUCUGUGGAAGUUUCUGGAUAUUCCACACCCCUUUGUCUCUUCCCAACCUUCACAGCCUUCUACACCAAAUUAACUGGAUCUGCUGAUCACCAGCAUUUUGAAACCAAUGCCUGAUUUUGGGGCAUGUGUUCUGUGCCAUAAAUGAUAGUUCUCUGUCCACCCAAUCUCUGCCUCCUCUCCAUCUUACUAUUUUUGCCUUUUACCUAACAGUACCAGGCUUUGUCCAGCACCCUGCCUGGAACCCCAACCUUAUCCAGGACUAAAAUCCUGCUGUUGUCCCUCACCAGGGUCUGUGGCCUUUGCUUUUUUUUUUUUUUUAAGAAAAUGACAUUUAUUUAUUUUAUUUUUUUUAAAGAGAGAGAGAGAGAAAGAAUUUUUUUUUAAUAUUUAUAGUUAUAUUCGGCGGACACAACAUCUUUGUUUGUAUGUGGUGCUGAGGAUCGAACCCGGGCCGCACGCAUGCCAGGCGAGCGCGCUACCGCUUGAGCCACAUCCCCAGCCCUGGCCUUUGCUUUCCAGCCUUUCCUGGUCCAGGUAGCUUUUCUAAUAUUAAAGCCUUUUUCUUUUUUUUCCUCCUUCGAGGCUUCAGUAGGUAGAAUCCUUCCCAUGCAGUGAUCUCCUUGUACUGACCUCCUUGAACUCUGCCUACUGCUCAUUGUGCUAACUGGAUGUCAUUCUGGUCUGUCUGGCUGCUCUUCUGGAACAAGGCUGUUAGCUUAGAUGGACUUUUGUCCUGCUUUUCAUGCUAGCUCUCCAGCUGCCUCCGCCUCAAAAAGAGCUUUUAAUAAGCAUUAUAAAACUCCAAAAGGGAGGGACUUGGACUGUGGCUUAGCGGUAGCGCACUUGCCUGGGAUGUGUGAGGCACUGGGUUCCAUUCUCAGCACCGCAUAAAAAUAAAUAAAGGUCUAUUAACAACUAAAAAAAAAAGUCCAAAAGGGAAAUGAGAAUAUAGCAUUUUCCAAACUUAUUUAACUAGAGAACUAUUUUUUUUUUCUCCUGGAAAAUAUUUACUAGAAUUUUACAGAAUAUGGCAUUUGGUGGAAGAUAGUUUUUGAAAGUGUGAGGCUUUGCCUGCAAAAUGAACAGCAAAUGAAAUGAUUCCAGAUGAAAGUAAUAUGACAAUCAGUGAAAAAAUUCUUCGGGGGCAACAAAUGCUCUCUUGUUACCUACACUUUUUCACCAGUUUCUCUGGAAUCAUACCAUAUAUUAGACUACUUACUGCGCUUCUGCUUAGGCAGCUAUGAUCUAGAGUGGAGCUCUAAGGAUUCUGCAUUCUUUUUCCCAUUUUGAAUCCUUUCCUCCUUUUGUCUCCAUUGAAAUGGGAAGUGGUGAGUGAGGUGAUACCAUCAUGGCUAUAGAUGUCAUCAGUUCAUGGAUGCAAAGAAGGAGGGCUUCUCAAGGCUCCUUUACCCAGGUUUGACUUCUGUCAGGAUUUCUCUAAAACACUCUGAGCAACUCUUCCUCCUACUUUGGAACUGUUUGUCUCAGCAUCAGCCUUAAGUCUCAAUGCUGUUUCAGGAUUUUCACCUACACAUGGAGAUCAGUGCCAAGUAGCAUGGAGCUCAUUUUUAUGGAAUGGGUGAUACAUUUUAUACUUUCAGUAUUAAGUCCCUUUUCUUCUACAUCUCAUGGGCAGUAUGGAAUAUAGUAGUAUUUCUCAGUCCUUGAAUGAAGAUAGGUACUUGCUUUCUGAGUGGGGCAGUGUUACAAGUGGAGAGCCUUUUAAAUCUACAGGAUGGAUGAGCAAGUGCCAGGAGUUGUAGCUGGCUCAGCUGGUAACUAAAGAGAAGCCUGCCACUUUCUCUGCAUGCCAUUCGCAGUAUAGCUAGGAAAGGACCAUUCGAAGCAAAUAGAAAUCUCUAGGACUCCUGAUUUAAAAACUACUGGUCUUUUGAAGAUCCUGAUGUAUAUGUCUUUCCUUUCUUGAGUGAGAUUGUUCUUUGGCUGAUCUUAGAUUGUUAACUGAGCUAAUCCUAAAACAAAAUAGAUGGAAAGACUCAACUUUCAUCUAUACUUAGGUAUGAUGUUCUUUGAACAUCUAUCAUGUAGUAUCCUUUACCCACAAGGGGUGAAGAAGAGGCCUUGGGGCUUUGACCUGUAGUACUUGUCUGUCUGCUAUUUCCUUUGAAAGACUAUGGUUUGGUUUUUAUGAGAGAUAGGGUCUAGCUGUGUUGCCCAGGCUGGCCUAAAAUUUGAGAUCUUCCUGCUUUAGCCUCCUGAUAGUUGGGACUAUAGGGGCAUGUGAAGAUCAGGGAGUCAGCUCACUUCUAGGAAGGUACAAAGAGGACUUGAAAUGGGCACUCAGAGAUCUUAAAUAGAGCCUGUUGGUUAUAUUGUUAUUUUAUAGGUUUUUACUAAAUUGGCCUAUAUCUGUAAAAGACUUGUUUUCCCAUUACUAGAUUUUCCCUAACAGGUUCCCUAAAUGAGGCCAUUUCCUAAGAUUCUAUCCUUGGCCCACUUCCCACCUCCCUUUAUAUACUGUCUCUGGUGUGAUGCCAUCUGCUUAUGGUUUCAUCUUCUACUAAUAUGUCAAAUACUCUUAAACUUGUUGUCUAUAGCAUUUUUUUCUUCUGAGUUCCUAUCUCACAGUAACAAAAACACUAUUGAUAACUGUAACCUGGAUAGCAUUUAGGCAUCUAAAGUCAGCAUUUCAAGCCACAUUAAAUUCUUUAUCAACCCAUUCUCUUUCUCCUAUUCCAAAUCUCCUUCUCUUCCAGUUUUGUUCUUAGACUCAGGUAUGUCACUAUCGGGCAUUACUUUUGCAUCACCAUCUUCCACUGUUCCCCUAUUAGAAAUUUAAUAGUCUCUGAGUAUAAUGUAAGGUGUUUAGUAUGAGCCCCUGCACUUUUUUUUCUUAAAGGUCUACAAGGAAUCUAGUUGAAUUCUACAGUAAAAAAAAUAACAGAAAAGGAAAAAAAAAGAUUCAAGAGCAAUUAAAGGUUUAUCUGAGGUUUAGAUUCUAAAUAAAAUGGAAGUCCUAGAAGGAAAACAUCUGAGGGCUAAGGGGGCGGGGAUAUAUGUCAUUGAAGAGCUGAGAAUUGACACCUUUGUAUGCAUGAAGGAUGGAGAAAGGGUAGAACCUAUGAUCCUUUCUUGUAUAAGCAGAGUAAUUGGCACCUCCUCUGGUGACUGUGUUUGUAAGUGUACUGAACCUUAUGCAGUUUGGUUCCUUUUAAACAGUUUAAGGAUUAAGUAUCCCAGCUUAAGCCAUCAAUUGACUGGGAUUAUUCUUCCCUUUUAAAUUUUAACUCAAAGUAUCAUUCAACAAUUUAUAGGAAGUCUGAUUCCUUCCUCUAGAUUUCUAAGUUCCUGGGAGCUCAUGUAUUACAGUCCCUCUGACUAUGAGGUCUUGCUCCCACUAAAUUAUUUCAGAUUGUGGAUGGUCCUACAGUUCAAGCAUGUUUUGUUCCCAUUUAUAUCUACAUUGUACCAGAUGCAGAACCCCCAAUUAAAGCUUUUGUAUGUGUAGUAGGCUUUAUUAAACUUUUAGAGUAAUGAGCAGGAUUUUACAUUGCAAAAAGGUAAGUAACUUUAUUCUAAUACUGGCCUAUCCCUGAACUUUAAAGUGCUCUCUAUUGGGGCUGGGGAUGUGGCUCAAGUGGUAGCACACUCGCCUGGCAUGCGUGCGGCCCGGGUUCGAUCCUCAGCACCACAUACAAACAAAGAUGUUGUGUCCGCCGAUAACUAAAAAAUAAAAAAUAUUUAAAAAAAAAAAAGUGCUCUCUAUUAGGGAUGCAUCACUAUUCAUAUUGCCCAUGCAUAUGGCCUUGGUCUUUUUCUCCUUUGAAACUUUCCAUACUAUAAUUGUGACUAAGGACUACAAAUUCUUCUUACUGUGUUUUGCACAGCAGUUGAAUUCUCACUAAUUAUUCUUCCUGAAAGCAACUCUUGGUUCAUUUCUGUUUGUUCAGAACCCACUAUAGGGCUCAGCUCAAUAAAGUGCUCCAUCCACUUCUUCAGCUACACAGAAGAUCAUCUAUAGAACCUCUGAUGUGUUCUUUUCAUUAUCUUCCUCUUUUAAAGCCAUUUCUUUUUGAAAAUGCAUUUACUUUUUAGCCCCAUGAUUUUGCAUUGAAUGAUUUAUGGAGUAGAAGCAGGAUGAUUAUCCAGGCAUGGAAAACAAUUUGAACAUAGGCAGCAACCUUUAUAAGACCUGUGUGGACAAUGAAGAAAAACUAGUACUAUUGCAAGGGAGAAUUCUUGUUGGUGAACAGAGCUCAGAAUAGAUUAAAAAGUCCAGAAACAGAUCUCAGUUUCAAUUAGGAAAGGAUAGUUAGGACAAAUUAUAUAAAAUAGAAAACUGACUAACCAUUAAAAAAAAUUCACUGUUUCCAUAUAAAUUCUAGAUGGAGAAGAGGUUUUUUACAUUAAAACUAAAGUAAUAAAUUUAUUAGGAGAUAAUUAGGUUUUUAAAAAACAUAUCAGUAAUGUACACAAAAGUCUUACAGAUCAAUAGGGAAAAAAAGCAAAUACCACAAAAGAAAAUGUGCCAAAGUCAUAGGAGAAUAAAUACAAAUAACCAAUAAAACACACAGAAAAAGCCUGUUUCACUCUGAUGCGGAAAACACAAAUAGAAAUGAGAUACCAUAGUUCAACUGUUAGAUCAACCAAUAUUAAAAUGAAGAAGUGUUGCUCUGUGGAAAAGCAAGUAUGGUGUGAGGCCCUGCAUUUAACCUUUAGCACUGGGGAAGGGAAGAAAGGGAAGGGGAAGGGGAAGGGGAAGGAAGGAGAAGAAGAAAAUAUUUAUUACUGGAUUGCUGAUAUGGGCUUGAGGAAGCAGGAACUCAUACUUUGUGAUUGGAAAUAUAAAUUAGUACAACUACUCUGAAGUUGAACUUGACAGUAUCUAUCAAAAUUUAAAGUGUGUAUAGUGCACCAUUGGUUCCACUUCUGGGUAUCUUUACUACUAAGGGCAAGUUUAUAGGGACAAAUAUAUAUAUAUAAAACAAAAUAGCCAUUGAUAAUAAACUGGUCAAAUAUGGUGUGUCCAUACAUUGAUAAUGAGGUAGAUUUAUAAUUAACAUGGAAGAUAGCUAUAAUAUAUACAUUAAAAACAUAUAGUAUAUGAACUUCUUUCACCUGAAAUAAAUAUAGGCAUAACUAUGUGUAUAUAUUUAAAAAAAAUCAUACAACACAAUGUUAUUAGAAGUUGUCUUCAGAUUUGGGAAAAAACUAUUGAAAAAACAGAAUUCUGACUUGUGAGUGAUGGGUGAGCUGACAAAAUUAUUUUACCUUGGUGUAUUAGCUAAUGAAGAGCCAUUAUAGAUUACUGGGCAGGUGGUUGUAAUAAAAGUAGUAGUGAUCAGGGAAGUUUUUAUGGUGUGGGUGUCUGAAAUGAAUGAAGCAGAAAAUAAUAUUUGAGAAACUGAUUAGGAAGCUAUAGUGACAGUAUAGGCCUGAAGUAAUAAGUUUUCAACUAGGGUGGACAGUAGGAUUAUAACUUUAACCAGGGAGAGAAAGGGCUAAUCUAAAGACAUUUCAUGGAAGAAACUACUGGUUUGAUAGUCUGUAAGGCUGGAAGAGGAGAAAGAACAAAGAGUAGUAAGUCACCAAGUGUGCCAGUAUUUGUCCUGUAAAAUUGAAAGACUAUCCAUUAUGACAGAAAGGGGGUAAUUAGAAAAGGGAGCCACUCUUAUAGAAGUGGGAGAUGAAUUUGUUUCCUGGAGUCGAAUUUGAAGGUCUAAAGGUAUAUCUGAGAAGAAAUGUUUUGUAGGCUACAGAUCUCCAUUUAGAGAGAAAGUUACUUGUAAAGUAGAAGUGGUAAGCAUGGAGACUCCCUAAAUUUGGUGCCCUUACAGGGUUGGGGGAAGCAUGGUGGUAUCUUAGUUCUUUCUUUGCUGUACAUCUUAAGAGACACUGGAGAGGAGUGCAUGACAGCGAUCUCAAUCAGAUCUAAGGGUAGAUCUUGGGGAAAGAUAGGAGUUCUUAGUAAUAAUAAACAACAGCCAAAACAACACAUAAAAAUCACUGUAUCAUUUACAGAGUACCACCAAUACAGUAACUUAGCUAACACAAUCUUGCAUACUUUUCUUUAUUACUUUUUCUUUUAUAUGGACAUUGAAACUCAAUUAGAAUGUAGAAUUAGGACUCAAAUUGAGAUAUUCAGCUUCAAACUCCAUUUCUAAUUUUCCCAUUCCCUUGCCUCUUAAAGGUGAAUUUUCUAAGGAAGGAAAUACUGAUGCAAAAGCUGCAGCCUGGAGUUAGGAACAGUUAUGAGAUGGGCAGAAGAGGACCACUUUAUAGUCACUGCAUUGUUCCCUGGUCCUUUUGAGCUCUGACAUUCUCCUAAACCCAGAGAAUGUUGGAUGUUCCAUUGAAUUCAAGGCGGGGGGUGUGGGGUAGGGGUCCUAACCUGUCCAUAAAUAGCUAUGAAGUGUUUUGGAAGUAAGGGUGUCCAGUUUGAUUAUGGCAUAGUUAGUGGUGGCGUAGUAGUUUAUUGAAUUCUGGCUUCAGUCUUUGAAAGCAAUACAGUAAAAGUGUAUUGACUUUGACUAGUGAGGGAAAGGCUUGUCUGAGUUAGUUAAAUGAUAAAAGAAUUUUUUGAAGUCAUGAUGUUUGUUUAGUUUGGGAAUCCCAUGUUACCUCCACUUGGGUAUUCACUAACUAGUGGAAAUCUUGGGAGGACCUGCUUUAGUGAGUAGAAAAUCAUGAGUCUCUUAAGUCACUUCAGUUUUCCAACUGGAAAUUAUACUUAUGAGAUUAAAUUAUUUAGCUUAUUCUGAUAGCAUAAAUAAAAAGGCAGUUAUGACCUUUUAGAUGUUCUGAAUCCAAAGGGUCAACUUUAAGGAUGGUCUGCAGUCAUUAGACUUGAGUCUUUAAAGAAUCUUACAGGGAAUCCUUACAGUCCAGUGCUUGGAGCAUUCUGGGGAGUCCGGGAAGGGUGCUUGAAUGAGUGUGUGAAGGACUGAUGGAAUCUUUCUUCCUGAGGCUUGUUGAGCUGGGUGGAACAGUUUUCCCACAGCCUCAUACCACAGCUUUGAUGGGUUGUUCAUAAUAAGUGUUACUGCUCAGAUUUUAUGGGGAGGAGGGAGGAAAUGGAGGCACUAUUAGAAGUUUCUGCUUUAUGAACUGGUGAUUGUUUAGGUAUUUCCAAAACUAGUAAGCUAGUGUCACUUGGGUCCCAGUCACAUGAUCUCUCCUCGUAAAGGAUGAGAACAAAUGAAGAGGUCCAAGGAGAUAGGAGAUUUCCUGUUGGCAAACUGGAUCUUACCCAAAGAUUUACAUUAUAGAUGUUCCUCCUGAUUGUUUGGAUACUAAAUCAGGAGCCUCUUUUGCUUAUCUCUGACUUUUGCUUACCCACACUGGCCCUGCCCUUUGGUUGUUUGCCAUUGGUGGUUUUUAGCCCUGCUAGAAAUUAUGCUCUCUACUGUAAAGCAAACUUGGGAGGUGUAAGUUCUGGCUCCAGAGGGACUGGGACCUGUCACUUAACCUUGCCUUGUGUUUUCCAUCAUGCAUUCCUGGCCACCUUUUUACCCUUGGCAUGCUUCUCCAAGUCUGUAAUUCUGCCUAGGUAAGGAUUAGGGGCUAGCUUCUUCAGAGGGAUGUGGGAUAGGAAUGUCAGUGUUUUAGAAGAAGUUCCUCUAUGUCCUGUGCCCUGGGAGCAUUACUGGUCUCAUAUAGAUGAUCUAACAGUUAUAUUGAGAGUGUUGGGGGGCACAAAGUAUAUUCACAAAAGGAUAUACUACUGCAUUUCUUUAAGCGUUCUGCUUUUCAGAAUAAAAUCUGAUUUUCAAAUGGUAAUAUGCAAUUAUUCACAGAAUAUUAGUACCAGAAAAAAAAAACUUUUUAGAUUUUCUAGAUCAACUUCCUUGUCUUUGAAAUGAGUAGAUCUAGGGAGGUUGGGCAAGGGGCAAAGCCAGACCUGUGCGGAGGAGCUGACAUGGUUAUGUGAAAGUAGUUGAAGUAUUUGGGGGUAAGGGAGAAGGCUCACUGCCUUCAGCCUGGAUAAUUCCUACCUCAUUGACUUAUCUUAGUUCUUCCAGACUGGUCCUAAAAGGAAAUAGUCCCAGAAUUUGCAUUUUCAAGGCAUAUUUAAGUGAGUAAAAACCUAAAUUACAACAUGUGAAUGAAUGCAAGUUUAUUAAGGAAAGCUAAUUAUUAGGUUAGCAAAAUGUCAGUGGAGGUUCUUCUUCAGGGGGCCUGAUUUAAUGGGCCAAUUAGAUUGAUUUCGAACUAAAAUUGUGCUUUCUAUAAUAUAUGCUUAUUAAGUCCAUUUCUUCAUUUAUCAAAUAUUUAUUAACUGCAGAGAGUUCUGCAAUAACUCAACUGAGCCUGCUUUUGAGGAACUUAAGUUUAGCACGCAGAUAACUUUAAUUGUAGAGAAAGUCAUAGUAUGACAGAUUCAGAGUAAUGAUAUGGGAAUUCAGAGUAAGAAGAGAUUUUUUUCCAAUAUUUGGAUCUAGAGAAUUAGGUAAGGUUUUAGAAAACAGGUGGGUUUGUUUUAGAAAAAACAGUAAAUAGUCUUACUUAUAUCAACAUUGUUAGAACUAUGACUUCAAACAUUUAAAAAAGCAAAAGCAAUCUUUCUGUUGCUUAUAUCAACAGUGUUGAAAAUCUGUUCUAGUUCAUAUUAUCAAAAAUUUCUCUCACUAUUAUAAUUCUAAUAUUUAUUUUUUUGGUUUUCGGCGGACACAACGUCUUUGUUUGUAUGUGGUGCUGAGGAUCGAACCCAGGCCGCACGCAUGCCAGGCGAGCGCGCUACCGCUUGAGCCACAUUCCCAGCCCUCACUAUUAUAAUUCUAUAUCAAUAAUACACUGUAUUUCCAUUCACUGUACUCUUUUGCUAAUUGCUAAGGUAAUUUUUUCAAAGAGAAGAAUUUUUGGUAAGUAAGAGUAAUUCACUUGGGCUGGGGUUGUGGCUCAGUGGUAGAGCACUUGCCUAGAAAGUGUGAGGCACUGGGUUCAAUUCUCAGCACUACAUAUAAAUAAAUAAAUAAAUGAAAUAAAGGCCUAUCAACAACUAAGAAAGUAUUUUUUUAAAAAAGUAAUUCACUGUUUUAGUGGGCCAUGACUGCAGCUCGUGAAUGAGAGGCAAGGGUGUGACCCCAUUGGGGAGGCUCCUCUUUGAAGAAGUUCAGCUGUGAAGUGAGAAGAAUUAGUAAAAAGAGGGUGCAAGAUAUAAAGAGGGCUAUUAAUCUCUUUUCUUGAGAGCACAACCCUAUGCUGUGGGGAAACAGCAAGUAGAAAUUGUUUGAGAAAGUCUCCUGGGGAAAAGGGAAUACUGUAUCCUGAGUAUUGGUGGACAAGUUUAAACUUGAACUGAACAAAGGUCAAGGCUGCACUGAGAUUAACAUUACCACCAGUACCACCAUUUGUUACUUUCUUACAUUUUGCCAAGAUUCUUCUGAACACUUUUUUUUUUUUCCUUCCCCUCCUGAGAUGUUGUUUCACUGUGUUGCCCAGACUGGUCUUGAUCUCUGGGUUUAAGUGAUUCUUUGCCUUAGUCUCUCAAGUAGCUGGGACUACAGAUGUGUACCACUGAGUUCUGCUGAGUACUUUUAAGUCUUAUUUCAUAGGGAUAUAAUGGUUAGAGGGAUUUGAUGAGAUUUUGGGAGAUAGUUGGGCUUUCUUUGAGCUUUGUUUUUUCUGAGAAGAAGUUGAAAUCAUCUGUUAGGAGCAAGUGAGAUAGUGGGGAGAGUGGUAUGGUUUCAUAAAAAACUCUUGUGCCAUUGGCUAUGACCUUGAGAGACAUGUAAGAGGAUAGCUGAGCAGUGCUGAAGACUCACCCAAUGUUGGAGAUCAUUAAUUUAUAGAGGAAGCAGCCCUCAUUACUAAUGAUUAUUUCAGCAGUAUGAAACAAGUGGAGGAUUAAAGCUGAGAACAUCUGCAUUCAGAUAGAAACUGUGUUGUACAACAAAUAGAAGAGGAGAAAUAAAUGUGGCCUAGAGUAUUGGUGGGAGAGUGGUUGUCCUUUAGCUGACUAGAGAAAGAAGUGAAUCCAAGAGAGUUCUGAUGGUGGCACAGUGGUGGGGAAGGGCCUGGAAAUCACAGUGAAGUUAAAGAACAGAAGUUAUAGAAGCAAUGAUGAGAAGUAGAAAUAGAGGAGGUCAUGAUCAGGCAAAGGUUUGACUUGAGAUGGAAAGGCAGACUGUGACCAAGUCCUUGAUGACCAGGAGGUCAGCAGAUGACAGCAAUGAGUAGGAGUAUAGUUGUUCAGCAUAAGACUUAGCAAAAAAAAAAAAAAAGAUGCUUUUUGGUAAUAUUAUAACAAUAAUGGUUUUGAAGCAACAUCAAGGCAACAAGAUAUCAAGCAAAGAAGUCUCUUUUUCCUCCUCCUCCUGCUGGACACUGAAGAUUGUUUUUAUGUUGGAACUUUCAUUGCCCAGAAUGCAAGUUCAUAAAGGAGUGUCAAGUUUCAGCUGGAGGGAAGGUGGCCAGGACAGUUUUUCAGGUAUGCUUUCUACACUGCCUGCUUAAAUAGUGUGGGGGUUUAAUGGGGUUGCUGGGGUGAGUGAUGGCCAACUAGGACAACCGCCUAAGAUCCUGGGCCUUUGUUUACAGAUACAGGAGCCAAGUACUUUUAGGGAAAAGCUAUUGGCCCUCUUGUAGGCAAAUCUUAUUUGGCCACUAGGGUGUUUUUUUUUUUUUUUUUUUUUUUAACUGCUCUAGUUCAGAGUGGGCUGUACUAAUCAUCUGUGAGAGGCUGAAUGGAAACUUUUUAAAAGUUUCUUGCGUAAAACUCUGGUAGGAAUCAGUGGACUCUUGAGCCUUUGUAUUCCUUUGGGGUCUGACGUUUAUUUUUCCUGGGCUGUGUUCAGUCAUUCCCUUCAUGGUGACAGCAAGUAAUUCCCUAAAGCUUACAUAGUUUGAAAGAGUCUGGAAAUUCUCAGUUCAUUGUUCAUAAAGCUGUUUUAAGGAUUUUCAGUGAUUCAGGAUUCCUUCAACAUUGUUAGUACUAUGACUUCAAACAUUUAAAAAAGCAACCCCAAAUUACUGGAAACAAACAAAAAUCCUCAUAGUUCUUUUUGCCCUUUCUUGAUCAAUUUUCACUGUCACCCUGGCUAUAAAACCAGAACUCGGAAAAUAACUGUCUAACCAGCCACUUUAUCAAGGGACCUAAAUGGAAGAGACCAUAGUGGCUCAGAGCUUGAGGUGCAUUGCUCCCAUUUCACUUUUUUCUAAGUAAUUUGUAAUUGGUUUUGCUACAUAAAAGUGAGAAACUUGGCUUGGGGAUGUGGCUCGGUGGUAGAACGUUUUGCCUAGUAUAUGCAAGGCCCUAGGUCCAAAAAAAAGAGAGAGAGGAGAGAAACUUGUUUCUGGCACAAGUUACUAUAAACAAAGUUAGAAGAGAGCCAACAGGCUAGGAGAUUAUUUUUGCACUAUAUGUAAUAGAUGAUAGAUUAAUAUCUACAAUCUUUAGAGAGAUCCUACAAAUCAAUAAGAAAAAUACUAUAAACCCAAUAUAAAAUGGCAUAGAAUACAAAUAGGCAAGUUACAGCGAAGCAAACAGAUUUCAUCUAAGGAAUCACUCACCCUUAUGCCCAGAGUCUUCUAGAGAAGGAUUUUCAUUGCAAUGGUGAAUAUCCAUGAGUAGGGGUACUGUGAAAUUCUGUGUGGCUGUUAAAACAUUGAAGUAGGUUUUUGUGUCAGUAAAAAUAGAAAGCAUGGAACAGUAUGAAUAGGAGAUUCCUAUUCAUUUUGAAAAUCAUUCCUGUUUGACUUAGAAUGUAUACAAGUUACUUUAUAUAAUUUUUAUAGUAAUUUCCUUUAUUUAAGGCUGUAUUUUUCUAAUGAUGGCAUUAAAGAAUGAAAUGUUAACUUUUGCCAGUUUCUUAUAUAAGAUAGAAAAUAUAUAUUCUACAUCGUUACCUUUAUCCUUUCUUUGUUAAUGUACUUUGGUAUUAUAAAUUUUAGCUUCUGGGAAGAAUGUAGAGACUUCUCACCCUAUCUUCCCAGGAACUAAAAGGAUCCCUAAGGAAUGCUACUAUGUUGUCUGCAGUUGCAUGUUUUGGAAUGAUGAAUAAAGGAAUUCAAAGCUCAGGAUUCUUCUUUGCUAGGAUUUACUUGUUUUUGGUGUUCACAGCCUUGCAGAGCCUCCCUGCCUCUGACUCUGAUGCAGGGGCCUCUGCGUGGGAAGCCUUGCUUGUCCCAUGCUCUUAGAAAAGGAUGGGAAACAUGAGUGGCUCAGGAAAGCAAGGCUUAAAGCUGGCCUAGCCCAUGGGAGGAAACCUGUUCUUUGCAUCUGUCCUUGCCUCUCUUUUGGAGAGGCUUUCUCACUGGUUUUAACCUUGGUUCCAGACUCACCAACCUAGGUGAAAGAAGUCUUUGAAACUUAUUCUAGUUUUACCUAUUUUGCUGAAGUUUGAAGCUCCAAAACUCCAGCCUGGAAACAGCAGGAAUUCCAUCAGAAGGUGGCAAGGAUAUAUACUCCCUUGUCUUUCAAAGAUUGGCAGUGUCUCUGGGACAGAAGUGUUGCUUUGCUUACUCACAUUUCAGUGUCAGUGGACAUAAUGGGGAUUGUUUCAGACUUGUUACAUAAGCUGUUGUCUGAGGUGGAGAAUUUAGGGUAGUGUAAUAUAAAUUUAUUUAAAACAAAAACUUUGACUAGUUCUUCUUGUAAAGAGGGGUGAUAUAAUUCGUAUUCGUACUGGGAAAAAAAUCAUUCCAUUCCUUUGACCACUACAGAAUGGUGGUAGCAACAAGAGAGUAAAAGUUCUUAACUGUUCCUUGGUGCCGAUCAGGGAGAAACCUGGAGUGAAUGGUUCUUAGUGGGUUCCCAACUCUGGAAGGAGGAUGGAGAGCUAAGGUACUCUGAAUAAUAUAAGGGGAAUUUAGUCCCUACCACCAACAAAAUGUGAGGAGCAUGUGGAAUGGAUAAAAGGACCAAGCAGCAGGGUAAUAUAAAAUCUCUGUCUCUUUAUACUUUCAGGGAAAUCUGACAGACACAUGAUGCUUUGAGUGAGUUUGUGUGUACAUAUUUUUUCUUUGGAGUAAAGCAUGGAAAAAGAGCUGAGUCCCACAUCUGGGACUGCUUAGAGCAGAGAGAAGAGACCAGCCUCAGGAGGUGAGAUGUGAAAAAGAUCAAAGCUCUAGCAAGAGUUGGAGCAGAGCCAAAGAGACUACUAAGAGUAUUAACUGCUGGUAAUUUGCUGAGAUUCUGGGAAGACCAUUGGAUUUCUUCUUGGGAUGGGAGGAUCCAGGCAGCUUUUAAAAGAAUGCACAAUGACAGAUGCAGCUGACAUCUGAUUGUUGUAGUGCUGUAUAGUUCAGAAUGUUUAACAGUGGUUCUCCAAAAUCUUGCUCUGUGAAUGUUCCAGCUAUCAUAUUAUAUUCCUCUUUCUGCCCAGUGAAAGCUGUUUUCCGUUCAGACUUCAAAAGGGAAGCAAAAAAAAAAAAAACAUGUCCACACGGAGGACUUUGUCAUAUUUCUCCUUCCCUGUGAGUUAUGCAGAACCUGAGGAUGCUGGUUAAAGAGCCAAUGAGCUAUACCCUUCCCAGCCAUGCAAUUGCCGAGUAGGGUCUAUCAUUUAGGGGUAAAGAAAAAUUGGGAAAAAUCUUCUGUAAAAUCUUGGAACUUUAAAACUGUUCUGAGCAAGGACCUAAAUAAAUAGUAAGACUUCUGUUAGUAUCUUUUUUUUUUUUUUUUUUAAAGAGAGAGAGAAUUUUUUAAUAUUUAUUUUUUAGUUCUCGGUGGAUACAACAUCUUUAUUUUAUUUUUAUGUGGUGCUGAGGAUCGAACCCAGCACCCUACACAUGCCAGGCGAGCGCGCUACCACUUGAGCCACCUCCCCAGCCCUUCAGUUAGUAUCUUAAAGUAAGAAGUCAUGGUCUCUGAGCAGUGUGAAUCUAGUCAGUGCCACACUGAACUUAGUAUUUUUGCGCAUGCCUUAGCGGGGAAGACCUGGCUGAUGGAAGAACCUAUUGUAUGGUCUCAACACCCACUUUGAGAACAAUAGAGGUCAGUGAGCUUUGACUAUUCGCCAUUCUCCUUUCUUAAAUAAGAGCAUUUUUAUUUUCUUUAGGGGACCACUUCCUUUCCUAUUUUCAGAAGUGGUUCCAGUGGAGUAAGUUCAUCUCUUGGAGGACACAUAGUCAUGUGCCAGUCAGAGAAUAGUACUUGGCAGGCAGGGGCAUAGACCCACAUCCAGGCCAAUCAGGUCUCUCAGGGUUUUUGUUAGAACUAUUAAGAAGUGCACUCUUAUUUUCCUUUCCAGCUCGGUUGCCCUGACCCUACAGAAUGUAAGUCCCAUGCUGCUGGAGACCAUCUUGCCACCCUAAGGAGAAUACUGCCUAAGAAUGAAGGCAACACAGAUGACAGCUGAGCUGUGAGAUAGAGAAAACUGGAGAUCAGAUGGUGUCUUGAGUACCUGGAUGUAACCACGUGUUAAACUGGUGGAAUCCUGGACGCUUAUUUUGCGUGGACCUAGACUUUCCCUUUUUUUACCCCUUAUAGAAGUUUGAUUUGAAUCGUCACCUGCUGCCAGAAGUGUCUUAAUUAAUCCAUGUCAUAAAUGGUAUAUCAUUCUCUUACAGAGAAUAUGGUAUGGUUCACCUUUUUUUGGUGGGGGAUGCGGGGUACCAGGGAUUGAACUCUAGGGCAUUCACUCACUGAGUCAUAUCCCCAACCCUAUUUUUUGUGUUUUAUUUAGAGACAGGGUCUCACUGAGUUGCUUAGCAGCUCUCUGUUGCUGAGGCUGGCUUUGAACUCAUCAUCCACCUGUCUCAGCCUCCCGAGCUGCCGGGAUUACAGGUGUGUGCCACUGCACCCGGCUAGGUUCAGCUUUUUUCAACAGAUCCUUUUAUCUUAAAGUGCUGAAUUUGAAUUGUAAGUUUGUUAUAAAAAUCAAAUGAGACCAUACAUGUAAAGAACUUAGUAUUAUCUUUGGCAUAGUAAAAACCCAAUAAAUAUAGGAAGGAGGGAGGGAUAGGGGACAGAAGGAAACAAAGGUGCCAAAUUGAAAGAACCCUGAAGUCCUUAGGGUAAUAUUCUAAGAACCUUCAGACCCUAUCUGGUCAUACUGUUCUAAAUGCCCUUAGCACCCUAUACUUUCCCUUUAUAACCUUUCAUCAUGGUUGUGUUGUAAUGUUAUGUUUGUAUCUUAUUUUGAUUAAUACCUGCCUUCCUGAUUGACCUGGGUUGUUCACAGUUCCAUCUCAUCACCCAUUCUAGUAUAUCACAUUUGGCAAAUAUUUUAAAUGGUCACAUACAAUUAUCCAAAUUGGACUGAUCACUUUGAUUCUUGGGGGGGGGGCGGUCAGGAAUGUGGCAACAUUGGCAAAAUCAGGGAAAGAAGACAUUAACCCUCCUUAAUCUACUGCAUUACCCACAUUCAACAUACAGAGAAUUUUGGCUCAGUGAAAUAUUUCUUUUUGGUUGUGAAACCCUUUACCAGACCACUAGUUCUUAUAUUUUUAUUGGACCAUUUUGUGAAAUAAUUGAAUAAUGUGUUUCUGGCUUAAUAUCUGGAAAGCCUUGCAGAGAAGCUCUUUGUGCUUGAAAUCUUCCUUGCUCCUGUGUCUGUCAGGCACCUGUUUAACUGAGGUAGUCUUCCCUCCCUCAGACUCUUGCAGAAAUAUGUUGCAGGUUGAAGGAAGGCCGGGAAGCUGAUGAGGGCAAGGUCCUGGCCUUUGGAGACUUCACUCCCUAGCAAAAAACAAAAGCAGUAAAAGGUACCCCUGGUAAUCUGGCACUCAAUCUUGAGUACUUUUUUGGUGAGGGCAUUUAUUAAAUAUGAGCCCAGGCCCCCACCCACUGCCAUUUCCUCUUAGCCAGGUUGCCUCUCAUCCCCUAGCCCACUUUCCCUGAGGUAUGUGUGUGGGGGAUGUUCCCAGGGCCCAUGUAACUUCCACUGGCAAGUGACGAUUACAGAUGCUUUACCAGUCAGUAAAGCUGCCAAAGGCUUUUGUACUGUAAUAAUCCUUUUCCUUUUUAAAACUCCAGGGUUUUUCUACUGUUGCCAAUAGUUUUGCAAGUCAGCAAUUACGGUGUGGAUUAUGUAAUUGCUGGGUAGUAAAAAUAGAAAAGGCCAGGGUUUGCAUCUAUUUUAACCAAAUCAAAACAGAGCAAAGGGAGGGGAAAGGAGAAGAGGGAAAGACCAAAGGAGGAGGGGAAAAGACAUCAUGUGACAAGCAGCAGUAUGAUUGCAUCUUGUGACUGGAUAAUACAGCCACAAUUUAUGUGCCUUUUCCCUGCCAUUUUUGACCCAAAGUCCUGCACUUCUUUCUUUGGCCUCUCCAUGGAUGGGAGUGCUGCCAGUAGUUCCUUCAGAGGAUACAAGAUCCCCCGUGGAUAAUCCUUAGCUCAGUCCUGUUGUGUUUACCUGCUUCUGGCAAGCACAGUGGCUCAGGGAGAGGGAGUUGAAUUUGACAGCUCCCCUCAAAGUCCAGGUCUUUGUGUCUGGAUUUCCAAGGUCUUUGUAGUCAGCUUAUUUUCUUGUGCAGUGGUGGAGCCAAGGAGUGGCUUAUGGGGAGAGUCUGGCAUACCAAAUCCCUAUCAGUCUUAGUCAAAGCUACCCUAAAUAAAUAUGCAGUGUAAUUACAAACCAUGUAUUCUCUGAAAACGGCUUCUAGAUAGACACCCUUAAUUCUUCCACUUCCCCACUCACACUUCACUCCUUUGCCUUCUGUGCCCCCGAUAAAGGAAUUUCAGGGCUUCCACUCAUUUGUUCUUGUGUAACUCUGCACCAAUCCCCUACUCCUACCCUGAGUUAAGAGUUAUAUUUAUAUUUCUCUAGAGACUUUUUGAGCAACUUUAAGGACCCUAAUGGUAAAACUUUAGGUACCAGGUGGAUCUAGAGCAGGGAAGAUAUUUUUGGAAAGAAGACUUCUAAGGGCCUAAUAGAUUACAUAAAAACACACUCAGGCUUCCUGUGAUAUUACCUCCAGAGGUAACCAUAGAGGGAGGUUUUGAGUUGGUCACUUGUUAACAGCCCUUGAGUCUGUAUAAAGCCCAAGCAGAAAGCCCUCUACCUCCUAGGUCUCUGAUGUUAGAGAGUGGUGGAUACUUUGAAGAAGGCAGCUCACUAAUUUCCAAAACUGAACCUAUAGAAGUUCGGUAGGGUUAGAGGGGGACCCAGAAGUUCAGAUGGUAAAUAGACCCAGUCACAAGUAACACUAGAAAGUUGUUUCCUCACCAUUCUUCAUCAUUACUUCUGUAUACUCCUCUAUAUACCCAUCAUACUCCAUUCUCAGAGCCCUCAUCUGUACUGGAGUGGCAGAGUGUCAGCAGUUCAGAAUAAUACUGGUUCCAGCUCCAGUUAGCCUUACUUAGCCCCACCCGUCCUGCCCAACCUGCUUAAAGGUCAAUAGUUCUUAUUCUGGUUUUUAGGCAUUUCAUGAGAUAGGUGGGAGUAUCUGGGGACCUACCUUAGGGAUUUUCAGUUACAGUUCCCUGAACUGGCUAAUGUUCAUGAUGUGGUACCUCUCUCUUACCCUUGUGGAUUUUUCAUUUCCUAGAGCUAGAUUUCUAUUCACAUUUGCCAAAGAUCGACUUUGGUAAGAACCACCAAAUAUCUUCUAUGAUCCAGAUUUUUAUCCUCCUAACUAUGUUCGUUCAUGUACUUGAACAAACCUGGUUAUGUGUCCUGGACUUGGGUUUGGUUGACAUCAUUGCAGCAUCAGUUUUUCUGUAUCUGGACAGGCUGGUCACUCCAAACAUCAGCGGAAGUUGGGCGUCUCGGAGAAUAUCUGCCUUCCAGUUCCCAUCUUAUCUCCCAGUCUUUGAGCAAGGUAAGGAGUCCAUGGAAUUACCUGCUUUAGGAACAACUAAGGGCUGGGGGGUCAAUCCAAGACUAAAUUUCUGUCAAGAUCCACAAAGGAAGACUUCCUACCUGAAUUCAACUUGUGUUGACUCCUUUCCACCCACCCCAUGGAUAGAACCAUAAAGAGACAUCAACUUGACCACAGUAAUGUCAGGUACACUGGUCAUCCCCUUCUUUUCCUGAAGGAGAUGGCUCUUUUUGUCAUUAAAAUAUUUAAUGGUUUUCUACUUCCCAACACAUACAUGCUUGUAUGUGGUACUCAUAGUGUGUAUUUUUGGAGAUACUAAGUUGUUCACAGUUGGAAUAGAAUGAAUAGCAAAUUUAACUACAUUUAACUUUUACUCAUCCAACUAUACUGACAAAUUUGAGACACAGUAUUGUUUAUAUAUGUGAGACAUUUAUUUGGAUUACAAACAGAACAAGAUACGAAAUGAUGGAUCAUUUGGGUUAGCUCUAGUACCAGGGCUCAGAGCUAGACAACUAUCACCUGUUACUGCAUAUCCUUUACCCCUGGGGUCCCUUUUUUGUUCGUAAGAUCAUACUGAGAAAUGAGUUUGAGGAAUGGGCCAAGACAGGCAUAGGGUUAGGCCUCAGGACUUUACCUCUUUGCUGAAUUCUUCAGGCUGAAAUUGCCAGGAGCCAGGAGAGGGUAGGAUGUUGGGUGAGGUAGCAUGGCACCUG